rnacentral:lncRNA from 1 species
UUCUUUCAAUUCUAUUAAAAUUUGAGGAACCAUUUAAAAUAUUUACCACUCAAGACCAUCAUAGAUCAUAAAAUAUCAUUAAUAAACUCUAAUGUCAAUCCAUUUGUCAAUAUAUGUAUUAAAAUGCAAAAAAAAAAAAAAAAAAAGAUUACAUCUUUGAGUUAAUUUGUUCUACUUUGCAAGUUCUACGGUUGUGACCUUUACAGUUACAAUUAGAACAUGUUGAUGAACUUUUUAAUUCCUCUACGAAUGGAAUUCUGGGUCUUUCAACUUGACGUUUAACAAUAUAAGGUAAUGUUUUUAUGACAUCAUAUUCAACUCUCCAAUCCAAAUGAACUGUAACAAGUCAAACACAAGCACUUCAUGUUGCUGACAAUGUUUCCGCUCUAUGAUAAAACUUAGUUACAUAUGUGUAUAUCACACAUAAUAUUUGUUCUAUUACAUAUUGUGCAAUAAUAAUGUAGGCAUGUUUUGCAAACAGAAAAUGACAGUAGAUACAUUUAUUCCAAAUUGCAGGAAGAUUUUUUAUAAUGGGAAUUGGCAAAUUGUUGGUGCAUUGCAUAUUUGGAUUCAACUUCAAUCUAGAAUAAACAUAUGUUUCUAAUAAUCUUUUAGUCUAUGUCUUUUAAGGAAGAGUUAAUAUCAUUACUCGCUCAAAUUAUUCUGGAAAAAGUAUCUACGCAAAACAGGUAAACAAUUGUCAUUUUUCCUUUUUAGAAUGGUGUGCUAUCAUCCUAUCUCUCUCCCGCGUUAUUGCAUAUUUGGUAAAUUCAUUACAUAUCUUUGGUAUGUGUUGGAUUCAUUAGAUCAAAUUCCUAUUGUUCAUCUGUUAAAACUAUGCCUUUCCAGUCAUUUUGCGGUAGUGAUGCCUCUGAGAUUGCUAAAUGGGCUUUCACAAAACUAUUGUUCAUUACAUAUCUUUGGGGAACAAGCAUAUGAUCGUAGAACAAUCAACUUUUAUGAUUGACUUACUUUAAGUGGGGAUGAUGUUGAGGUACAUUUAAUAAAUAAUUUGUAACUACAUAACCAGAAAGCAACAAAGGUUGGAUUAUAUUUGUAAAAUAAAUAUUGAUUGUUGCAUAUCUAGUGUCUAGUGUGGAAAUUUAGAUUCAAGGGCCUAAGCAAUGACAUGACCUUGACGGUUCAAUUUGCUACUUAUCUACUUCAUGACUCUUGAAAGGUUUGACUUCUUCUCCUUAAGAACAUAUUGUUAUGAUUGCUCGGUUAAAAUCUCAAUCUUUUUAAAGCAUCAACAACUCUUUGUUCUUUCUUCUUGGUGAGUGUAAUGAUCCGUGAUUUCCAAAGUAGGUAGUUGGAGGAAAUGGAAACUAGAACAUUGCUGAAAAAUUUGGGUAGUUUUUUGUAUAACUAAGUUGGUUCUCUUUGUUCUUUGGCUAUGAGUAUUAUUCGAAGCAUGUUCUUGUGUAGCUAAAUUGGUUAUUUUUAUUCUUGGGGGUCUUUAAAGAUUGAAUUGAAACCUACAUUUGCAACACUUAGGACUAUGCUUAUGCUUAUGUAGUUGCCUUUUUUUAUUUCAAUUGUACAUCCCACUACAAGAAAUAUGACUUUCAAUGACACUUUGGUAUUGUCAUACCCCGCCUCGCACGCGUUCUUACUCGUCAUGCGAGACACGGUAUGACUUUGAGUAUCUUGACAUGUUAAACGUCAAAAUACUUGGCUUGAGUUUCUUAAGCUUUGCUUAAUUGCCUGGCUUCUUAAACUUAACUUAAAAGACUUUAUACUUUAGGCGAUAUAAACACUUAACACAAGAGAUGGAAACAAAGGCAAACUUUUAUUACUAAAGUUAUGUGAUUACAAUACUUUACAAUAAUACAUAACAACUCUUAAGCUUAAUCUAGAUGUCUUAGUAUAGUCUUCUCUCGACAAGCAAGCAUGUCACCCUUUUAAGCUUGUCACCUUUUCCUUACUUUGACCUUAAUGUUUGAUACCAGGAAGGUAAAACUUAAAGCACAAGUCAAAGACUUAGUGAGGUUUUUUAAGAAAUCCUCUCCGCAAAAUAAAUUUUGUAAAUCAUUGAUCACAUCAUAUCACUUAUAUCUUUUCAAAUAAACACAUCAAAUUGUAAGAACAUACAUUUUACAUAAACACACAUUAGUCAACAGUCAUUCCUUUCGCCAAUAACCUAAAUCAUUCUCUACACAAAGACUCAUCAUCUCUCGUUUAGACUACUGGUAUGGCUUUCUCAUCAUCAACAUUCAAUAAUAUUUUGAUUCAUUCUUUGUUGCUCAGGCCGAGACGCAAUACACAUCUUUUUUACAUUGUUCUGCCUCAUUUCAUCAUGCAGACAUCUUUCAUACACACGAUUGCCUUUACUCUUUAUGUGCACAUAACAUUUAGCUCUAUGGUAGAAAGCAGACUAAUGGUUUGAACACCAUCUUUCUGUCAUUGGAAUCACAUAAAAUAUGUUUUGAUCAUAGUAUAAGCUUUUCAUUUGAAAUCUCUUUGGAAACAAUCAUUUUGAAAUCUCUUUGGAAACAAUCAUAUCGAAAUCAUCAUUCCAAAUCAACAAAGACUUUAUAAGAAAAGUUUUUACCACAUAAACACUUUGAAGAAAACACUCACAAAAUCUUUAGCCUUGAGACCAAAAUACUUCUUAUCUUCUUUUUAUUCUCCUUCUUCUUCUGCCGUUGCUGACGUUCCUUCAAUAUUUUUGUAUGUUACAUCACUUAUCUUCACUCCAGAAUCCUUUAAAACAACGAUGAAAACAAUUAAAAAUAAAUAUUAGCAAACAUGAGAGGUAAUUAAGUAUAUGUAUGCCAACAAUUUAAUUAAUUUAAUAAUAAUUACCUCGACAGAACAACCUUGAUUAUUGGGACAAUAAUUUUGAUCGAUUAAGAUUGGAUGUUUAACAUUAUGCAUAGUUAUAUUUUCAAACACAACAUGUUUUACGAAACCAUUGCUAGACGUAGGCGAUGUCUUUAUCCUCACACCAUUAUCUGAUUUUGUAAACACUGUAUUCAUCAAUCUUAUAUUUUCAACUCCAUUUUCAUUGACCUCUUUUCCUAGGCUCCCGAUACUGCAUUAAUUGAAAUUAUUAUCAUAUUAUUUUAUUAACUCAAAAAAAAAAAAGAUUACCGGCCAUCAUUUUAGUGUGUGCAUAUAUUAGAUUUGUUACCUUACACCAUGGCGGGCCCACAUUUAAUAUCACUCAUAAACAAAUUAUUUGUUCCAUCACCAAUAGAAAUGCAAUCAUCUCCCGUUUUAAUGGUAGUUCAAGAGAUGGUUACAGCAGUGGAGGAUUGCACAUGGAUGCCAUCAGUAUUGGGGCCUUGGUCUGGAGCCAUUAUCUUCACAUUCUUGACCAUCACAUUGUUGCAACUAUUGAUCACAAUAUGAGUUUGUCGAGUGUUGAUUGAUCUUAGUCCACUAAUUAUGACGUUGCUUGCCGAAUUGAAUGUUAUUGAUUGUAUUUCAUUUGUUAAAACAAAAGAAAACAUGUGUUACUAUACAUAUAUAUAUAAAUAAACAUGUCACAAUAAAUUUUAAAAAAUACACUUGGAUGCUUUUGGAUAUAUAGUAGCUUACUCAGGGUGUGUUGUUUGGAAUAAUACAUUUUCAAGUUUUAAUUUAAAAAAUGAAAUUUUAAAAAGAUCAAAAUGUCCCAUGUCUACUACAAAAUAACUUUUAAAAUGCAUUUAAACCCCUUUCGUUUAAAUAAAAAUAAGACGUUUGGAAAGCACUUUUUUUCUCAAAUUAAUAUCUAAACAAGCUCUCAAUUGUAAAGUUAGUAUGUUGGUCAAUUUUUGGGUAAAAAGUAAUAUUUUUGGUGUUUUUUUUCUGCUUUCUAAUGAAGAUAGUCGAUGUGCAGUUUUGGAAUUCAAUAAAGUAUUGAGUAAUUAACACGCAUACCCUUGCUCCCGGGGGACAUUUUUUUCCAGAGCCCUUGCAAGCCCAAUAGUCGGUGCCUUUUCCAUCAAUAUUGCCACCGAUGAAAGAAAUUCCAUUAACUUUGGUGAACAAAAUCCAAUACCUAGAAUCUCCAAGAGCAUUAUAGUCAAGAGGUGCCACGAGUGUUCCAUUCAAUUGAAAUGUAAUGUUGCUGUUCUUACAUGGACCUCUAAAUGUGAUGGAUGUAAGCAAGAACCUUCCCUUAGGGACGUUGAUGGUGGAUCGUGUCAAGGAGCUACAUGCAGACAUCCACGCUUUCAGAAAUGAUUGGGUUGAGUCAGUUUUUCCAUCCGGUUUUGCACCGAAUGUUAUCACAUUGUAGUUGCCUGCACUUGAAAUUUGAAUGAACAAAUGGAAGAAGAGAACGAAGACUAAACUUUUUGUUGGGUUGGCCAUAUGUUUUAUAAAGAAAGAUCUCAUAAAGUUGGGAAUUAAAUUGUGUUAAUGAUGCAUGGCAAUAGGGAUGUGUUUUGAUAUAUAUAGUGUACUUGUGCAAUGAAAUUAAUAAUGAAUUAAAACAUUGAUAAAAAAGAAAAAGUGAAAUGAAAGAAAUUGGAUAUGCUAAGUAAGCAGGCGGCUGAUGUAUAUGCGGUGGUUUGAUUCAGAUGAAGGAAAUCAGCCAGGGUCUUGAUGUACGGCCGCUAUGUUCAUGCAUUUUCAUUAGAUGCUCUUCUUUUUGCACGAAAAUUGGUAUUCAUCCAAUCUUGUGUUUGAGUCGUUGCUACUCAAAUAAUAAUUAACUAUUGUUCCAUGAAAACAAUAACACUAUCCUUGCUCAUGGUAUCAAUCUUAUAUUAUAUGGGUUCAUCAACCGGUUCUAUUUUGAUCUCUAAACUUUUUAAAAUGUUUGUUUUAGUCCUAAACUUAAAAGAAAAAAAGAAAACAUAUUUUGAUCUCUACUAUUAGCAUUUUGUUAAGAAAUGGACUUUUAUGUUUGGAUGACUAGGAUAUCAAAUAAAAUAAUUAAAGAGUUCUAAAUUUUAGUAAGAACAACUCAAAAAGUCGUCGUUUUCUAGAUUUUGAUAAUGGUCGCCAUUUAGGAUAUUGUCAUUCUAUUUCACUUUCUUAACUCGUAUGCUUGAUGCAAUUCAUCAACAUAUAAAUUUUUUAGUGCAUCAAGUUUGAGAUAUUUUGUGAUUCAUUGAGGUGCUUUUUUUUCAUCCUCCCAGUCAUUUAUUCUUUGUUUUGUUUUGUUUUUUUUUUUUUUUUUUUUUUGUGAUUCAUUAUGCGAAUAUUUGUUUAAAAUUUAGUAGAGUUCAUUUCAUAAGUGUUAGUAUUUAUUUUAUGUUUCUAGUUUAUUUUACAUUGUCAUUGAUAUUAAACUACAAUAUGUUCGUUCUAUUUUAUUUUUCUUUAUUCUACUUAUUGUCAUUUUUUUAUGGUUCGAGAAAUAAAUAAAUAAAGGGUGAGGAGUCCGAAAGAGAUACGAGAGAUUUAAGUUUUGGAGAAAAAGAACAAAAUUAGUUUUAAAUUUGGGUUUAUUUAAUUAAAGUGUAUUAAUUAUAUUUCUACGUUCAUAUAAAAGAUUUAUAGAAUAAAAUAACAAAGUUUAUUAGAUAUUUAUGAAUUUAAUUAAUAUGAUGAAUAUAUAGUCCAAUCACCUAAAUAUAAAUGAUCAUGUCAUCGUUUAGUUAACUUUUAACAAAAUUCUAACAAAAAUAAUCAAAGUAUGCAUUUUUUAAAAGUUUGAUAACUAAAACAGACAUGAAGUCGUUCAAUGACCAAAAUGAACAAAUGCAAAGCUCAUGACCAAUUUAACCUAUCGUAUUUAACAAAUUUAUCACAUUAAUAAAUAUUAUAUUACUGACCACAUUUAAAGAUAUAAAUAAUACAUAGGGAUAGUUACAAAUUUAGCAAUUAAAUUCAAAAUAAUUAAGUAUAUAGCAAUGUUUUUAAAAAAUUGCAAAUAUAGCAAAAUUUGUCAAAUUCUAUCAAUGAUAGAGUCUAUCACUGAUAGAUCAUAUUGUAAAAAUUGGUCUAUCACCGAUAGAUCAUACGAGUCUAUCAGUGAUACAAGUCUAUUAGCGAUAGUUUUGCUAUAUUUGCAAUUUUUUUAAAAUUUUGUUAUAUCCUUAAUUAUUAUUCCUCAAAUGGUCACUCAUUACAGUUACCCUGAUAUAUAUAUAAUAAAGGUCCAAUCAUGGAACUUUUUAUAUUUUAAGUACCUUGAAACCGAAGACGCUGUCACACGCAUAAGUCUCUAUUUUUUUUUUUAUUGUUUAUUAAUUAUUAAUCUCUUUUCCAUAGAUAAGUCUCUACCAAUUUUAACUUAGAAUAUAUAUCUUAUAUUGUCGCUCAUUAAUUAUCAUGUUCAUUACUAGGAUACCUACCUUUGUGAACACAAGUUGGCACUAACUUCAAUUUUUUUACGUGAAAACUAGUUGCGUGUACAUUGAACAGCAUCUAUUUUUAUACAGCAUAGAUUAAGGUAGUGCACCAGAGGAGCUCCCCUUCUAUCAUGUUCAUCAUUCAAACGUAAAUAAAAGCUCUUUAUUUCUUCGUACAAGAGAAUCUUGAUUUUCAAAUAUAAGAACAACGACACUUUUCCUCAUUGAAAACAAAACAACAAAUACAAACCACGUCAAUCAAAAGACUUACAUGCUUUGGGUUUUAUCUUCACUAAGGUUGCAUUCAACGUUGUUAUGCACAUCUCAUCUCACACACAACACCAACCAACCCUCAGACAACCAAAAUUUUUACUAAAAAGGAAUGCUAAAAACAGAGAUCCCGAAAACAUCUCCUUCAGAAUAAAAUCAUAUCUUCUACUUUAAGAGAAAAAAUUUUCAUAACCGCGCCAAAAAAUAUAUUUUUAAAAACAUAAUAUUCUUCCCACUUCACAUAAAAAACUUUUUGCCACGUCAACCAACAUGAAGAUAAUUGUGAAAAAAUGUAACUACCACUAGCCCAUGCAUCUUCUAACAAACUCUCCCUUGGGAUUGACUUCCUUUAUUUGUUUAAACAUGUAUAUAAAGAUAGAACUAAACACCUAGAAGCAACAAAAGCCAACAAUAAGUAGUUCAAUUUAGAGAGAACAGUUAGAGUAACAAAGAGAAUUACACUUCUAAAAAAGACCCACUCAAGAGAAAUACACAUGCAGAAAUAAGAGAAAAAGCAACAUCAAAAAAAUUAAAAAGACAAACAACCCCAAACCACACAAUAGUACCACAACAGCAGCCUUUCAACCUUUUUAGAUUCCAACUCAAAAACAUACAACCAACCACAUAACCACACUCCACCUUGCAUGCUAACAAAGAAUUAGGAAACAAGAGGAGAAAACCUAGAGGGUCUUGAGCCACAGUUAAAGAAUACAGGGCUUGAAGGACAAAAUCAAUGACAACUCUUCAACUGGUAAGAUCUGCUAUAACCUCGUUCUAAUCUUGAAUGGAAACACUCAGAGACCGAGACUCAUAAGAUAGGAGUUGUGUAAACCCUAGUUCUUGAGCUCCCUAAAAGUAUUAAGUGUUAAAUGUUAUGAGAAGCUUAGUGUUGUUUUUCUUUGUUAGGUGUGAAGGGAUAAAAGUCUAUGGCAGCACAAGAUUUUAAAGAAUCAUUACUCAAUUUAAUUUGAAAAUCCUAAAAUUUCAGUACAUUGGCAACAUUUAGGAUCAAAAUUUUAAAUAAAAAAACUAAGCAUGCUUUUAAUUCAAAAGAUACAAAAAACUUACUCUUGUUGACAUUUAUGAAUCUACAAUCCACCAAAUUAGGGACACUACCCAUCAGAGACCUUCCUAUCCUCUGAGAUGAGAUUGGUUUAUGGGAACCAAUCAGAAUGCAAAAAGAUUUAGAGAGAAACUAUUUUGCAUAAAACCAAAACCAUUAGUUUAAUUCAUUCAUUAAGAAAAACAUUUUUUCUUCUACGUAUUUAUAGCUCUCUCUCCUUUAUGGAGUAGAGAGACAUUUUUUCUUCUACAUAUUUAUAACUCAUUUUCCUUUAUGGAGUAGAGAGAAUUAUGAGAUUCUAAUAAUUUAAAAAAUAUUAAAUUAAUAGAAAUUUCAAAUCAACUAAUUAAUUAAAUCAUAUUUCACUAAAUAAAUUUAAUGAACAUCUCUUCAAUAUCUUAUUAAUUUAAUUAAAUCAAACUUAAUUAAAUAAAACUAGGUUAAAUUAAUUAAUAGUUAAAUUAAAUAUUUUAUAUUUAACUUAAAUUAAAUUUAAAUCAUUCAAAGUUUAAGUUUCUCCUAACCAAUAAUUUUAAUAUGAAUCUAAUUCACGUUAAAUUAAUAUUUGAACUCAUUCAAAUAUUUUAUCUCAAAUUAUAUCCAAAAUUAAAUUUAUAUAAUAAAGUUUGAUUAAACUUUUUAUUAUUAUAUAUUACAUUAUACUAAUUUCCAAAGUAAAUUUAUACAUUUCAAAUUACAACUAAUAUAAAUAAAUCACAUUAUUUUUUACAAGCUAGAAAGGUAAUGUAAGGGAGCUACAAAUCAGAAGCUACAACGGUAUGAGAUUAAUUGGCUAAACUCAUUAGCAACAUAAAUCAAUAUUUGUUAAGUGUGUGUACUCCACUAAAGAUUUACAAUUGAACUUUUCUCAUUAUAGAUAUAUUUUUGUGUCCACGAAUAUAGACCAAUAACAGUAAGUUAGUCAUUCACGAGUGUUCGUAACACCAGCUGGGUCAAAUUAUCAUUUUACCUCUAGGUUACCUCUAGUCCUUAAAUAUCAUGCUCAUCUAAUGAACAACCUGUUUAUGGUUCAACCAAUAAACAGAAACCCCUCUCAUGCCAUAGAGAGGGUACAGACCUUUGUUCAAGUCCCGAAUAUACCAUUUAAGGGAACACUCAUCUAUUUACCCUAAAGUCGAGAAUGAGUGUAUUUCAUAUUGUGUAAUUAUGUUCCUAGCUCCCCACUCGAUCUUGUCCCUAAAUGAUAAGCAUAUUGAGUUGGCAAUCUGUCACUCUCACACAUACAAAUCAAAAGAUAAUCCCUCGCGAAUAGGAGUUCAUAAUUCAUUCAGGAUAUAGAUUAAGUUACCUAGGUCAUCCUAAUGAAAUAGAAACCUAACUAGUUAAUAGAGUUACAUCUAAUGGUUCCCAUUUCAUGGUUUGGCAACUCAUUGCAUAAGAUACGUUCACUCGCAUGUCACAUACACGAACUCGUUGGAUCAUUAUGUUUGUAUCAAAUACAAAGUGAGUUGUAUCCAUAGUAUUAUCAGGAUAAGGUACCCAACCUUAUCCAUGUACUAUAGACCAUUUAAGUUGAUCUCGAACAUUGAUCCCUAAUGUCUCUACACAUUGUUCAAAACUCAUCAGAUAACUUAAAAUGUUAGUUUAUUGGUUUUGGGUCAUUAAGACAAAACUAAUAACAUAAUCAAUAACAUUUAUUAAAAUUACAAUAAUAACACUUUAUUAAUGACGGUGAAUGAAUUAUAUCUAUAAUCUACGAGUUUUAGGAUAUAAAUCUCAACAAGGUGGACAAGAGAAGAGAAAUUAUGGUUAAGUAUGGAAGUUGGUAGUUGGUGGCCAAAAGGGAAAGAAGAGAAGUUUGUUCUUAGUUGAAAAAUGGCCAAGUGUGGAGAGGUUUUUGUAUAAGGUGUUAGGUGUUUUAUGAUUCUUAGGCGUUUGUCGUUGGCUUAGGCGAGAUAGAAUGUCAAGAACCUCUAAAGAGGUUAUCUCAAGCAUUGUGUCAAGCUAGGCAGAAAGUAUGUGGAAGUUGCUAGGUGAGAACCACUACAAGAAUGUCCUAGGCGUUUAGUACUAGGCGAGGAAGCUUGCUAGAGGUGUCUUGGCAUUUUGGCUAAAGCAUUUGAAGAAGUUAUGGGAUUAGUUUGUGCUAUGCAAAAUUUUAAAUUUUAGGUUGUUAUUAUAUCAAAUGCAAAAUUUUAGGAAAUGAUACAAUUUUAAAUUUAAAUUUUGGAGGUAUUCCAACUAAACUUUUAAAAUAAAAUAAUAAAAUAAAUAUUUAUUAUUAUAUCUAAUCCGAAAAAAAUGGAGGAUAAAUAUAAAAAAUGGUGUAUUUGUAUGAUAUAAUAAAAUGUUACUAAGAAUUAACCAAACCUUAAGAAAUGUAUAAUGAACAAAUUAUAUUAUUAAUCAUUAUAUGAGAAAUUAUGUAUUUGUAUGAUAUAAUAAAAUAUUAGUGAGAAUUAACCCAAACUUAUCAAACCUAGAAUGAAAGAAUUAUAUUAUCAAUGACUUUAUCGAUAGUAAAAAAAUAUGAAUUAAAUAGCUAUUACUAUAUAUUAAUAAAAAUAAAUGGUUAAUCAAUUCAUUUGAAGUCUAUAAAUCUAAAAAUUUAGUAUAAAUAAUGUAGAAGAUUUUGUUCUAUAUCCCAUUUUUAAUGGAAAAAAUAAGGACGAUUUUGCUAAAAUUCAAACUAUGUGAGUCGAGAUUGGACGAAAGUUGACGUGAAAUAAACGGGGCCUUCCAGUGUAAUGGGCGUAUAAACCCCUAAAAUUUAAUAAUUUAACCCUUAAUUUUCUCUCUAGGGCUUUUGGCGAGUAGAGGAACGAAGGCGACGGUGCCAAAUUCUCAGAAGUUCAUCAAUGGCUCCGAAGACAGCAAGAGUUAGCAGAAAUCCUGAACUCAUUCGAGGGGUUGGCAAAUACUCGAGGUCGAAGAUGUACCACAAGCGUGGUCUUUGGGCAAUCAAGGCCAAAAAUGGAGGUGUCUUCCCUCGCCAUGAUGCCAAGCCUAAGGCAGAUUCUCCUGCUGAGAAGCCGCCCAAAUUUUACCCAGCCGAUGAUGUCAAGAAACCACUUGUUAACAAGCGCAAACCCAAGCCCACCAAACUUAGGUUCAUCUCUCUCGAUCUUCUUUCUUUCGAUGCUAUGUUUUUACUCAAUGUCUUGGAAUCCAUAUUGCUUUCUGAGGAAUUGGAGUAAUUAGAGUCCAUGCUGUAGCUAUGGAGAAGCGGGAAUUUCUGAAGAGAGAUUAGUUUUACACUUGAUUUAAGUUUUGGGUUUCGAAUUGGGUGAUCUGAAGUGAAUUUUUGCUCAUUUUUCUAUUAAGCAAUAUUUGGUUCUGGGGGUGUGUUCAUCUAACUUAGUUUCGUUGAUUUUUAUACUAUUUACAGGUCCAGCAUUACUCCUGGAACCGUGCUUAUCAUUCUUACUGGAAGGUUUAAGGGAAAGAGAGUUGUGUUCUUGAAGCAACUUCCGUCUGGGCUGCUUUUAGUGACUGGUGUGUUUUGAUGAAUCUCUAAUUGUCUGUCUUUAUAAAUUUUGUUUUGUUAUCAAAAAGUGUUGGGGAUUCUGUUCAUGGGGUUAGUUUUUGUUUUUCCACAUUCUUUGUGGACUUGUGUUAGAUUUGCAUUGGAAGUCUUAUUUAUGAUAUCUUAGCAUCAUAACAGUUAUUUGCCUUAGGUUUACAUAUUAUCUCAAAUGCGUUACCUGCAUAACAAGAAGGAAGAAGUUGGAUACUUUGGGUUUUACAUUUUGACAGUAUUAAUUGUUGAACCUCGAAAGCAGUUAAUAUUGAAAUGUCUCACGUCUUGUAUUCUGCCCAUUUCUCCGGCCAAUCGACUUUACAUACCACUGAAAUGCCUCAUGCUUCCUUUUAUGAAUAUAUGCCCUGCUAAUGGUCUUUUCAUCCCAUAAGUUUCUAAGCUUUAUGUGCAUUAUCUUCUAUUGUUUUCUUAUGAUGGUUGUGGGUACGGGUAGGGGUUAGUGUCUGAGUAGUCCUACAUGUUUAGGAGAAAGGAUGUAUAUAAAAUAGUGAUUGGCGGAGGCUAUUGAUUUCAAAUUAGCAAUUCUUGAACCUGCUAAGGAUUAUCUUAAUUUGAUUUUUGUCAUUUUAGGGCCAUUCAAGGUCAAUGGUGUUCCUUUGAGGCGUGUGAAUCAGUCAUACGUGAUUGCAACCUCCACCAAGGUGGACAUUGCAGGGGUCAAUGUGGAGAAAUUUGGUGACAAAUAUUUCUCCAAGGAAGUUCAUCAGAAGAAAAAGAAGGGAGAAGGAGAAUUUUUCGAGGCAGAGAAGGAGGUACUCAUCCUGUUUUUGAUUUGUCCAAAUAGUUUAAAGUUUUAUCAUUUCUUUGUCCUGAUUUGAGGUUGCCAUUGUUACAUGCAGGAAAAAAGUGCGCUCCCACAGGAGAAAAAGGAUGACCAGAAGGCCGUGGACUCGGCUCUGCUAAAGUCCAUUGAGGCAGUCUCAGACUUGAAGACAUACUUAGCUGCAAGGUUUUCUCUAAAGGCAGGCAUGAAGCCACAUGAGCUUGUUUUCUAGAUAUUUUCUGUGUGGUUUCUGAUACGCCUCUUGGGGAAUUUGAUCCCUAUAAUCUUCUUGUUCAUGUUUUGUUAUGAGGGUUGUAGAUUUGAAAUUAUGUCUCGCAAUGAAUUUUGUAGUGAAGUUUAUUCAUCAAAUCCUACAUUACGUGGCUUCCUUUGACUGGUGAGAGUGAUAAGACAUGUAAUUUUUGUUCAAUUUCUGGCUGGUGAAAUACUUGAGAAACACAUUGAUAAAGAUAGAUCGGUUGACUUACAAUGGUGCAUGGCCAUGUUUGAUUAGUAUGCAACGUCAGAGAGUGGGCAAUGUAUGCUUGAAUCUCAUAUAUUUGGGGUUUCUUUUUCAAUUUGGUUAAAAUGAUAUUUUCUUCUCUGCCCUUCACUUGUUUAUCAUAUGAUAAUAAUUUUACUGUUGGCAUGUAUGGAGCGAUCUUGAAAAAAUUAAAAUCACUUUUGAAUACUUUUACUCCUUCCAAAUAAAUUGUAAUAGUAUGAAAAAUUAAGUAGAAUUUUUUACAAUUUUAAAAUCACCCUUUGACUUUCAAAAUUACUUCAAUUCUAAAAUUUGAUGAUUUCAAAAUUAACAAAUUUUCUUCCAGUAAUAUUUAGUGAAAAUGUUAAUGAUGUGAUAAUACCAGUUUGGAGCUACAUCAAUUGAAGAAAGAUUUAGAUUGUUUUCUUAAUUAAAAUUGUGUGUUUUUUAAGGAACAUUUUAAUUUUAACAUUCACAUCAAUACUAAAUAUAAUUAAUUUAAAAAAUAUAUAAUCAAUAUUUCUUUAUUAUAUUAUACCAAAUUUACUAUCAAUUUUAUAAAUUUCAUAAUUAUUAUAAUAAAUAGUUUACAAUUAUAUUUUCAUUUAUUAUUAGGAUAUUGUAGAUUUAUUUUUAAUACGGUAUUAAGUUGAAGUUAAUAUGAUAAUAUUAUAUUUAAUAAUUUAUACAAAUUCAUUUUAUUUAAUUUCAUCCCAACUUAAUAUCAAAUUUUCACAAACCUACUUUCUACUUCGUUCACCGUUGCAAUUUUCUCCAAUCAGUUUUUUCGUUUGAUAUUUCGAUUUUGUUCUUCCCCUUUCCAUCUCAUUCAAAUAUCCGGUAAGUUCAAUUUUUUUCUAUUUAUAUUUCUUUAUCCUUCCUAUUCAUGUAAAUUUUACCAUAUAUAUUUUAUGUUUAAUUUUUCCUUGUGUUCAUAAACUGAAAGUUCGUGAGUUCAAUAUUUCAACCAUCUUCUUCAUUUUUUUGUUUCUCAGGUGUUCCGUCAACAAUAUAUACUAUUAUAUACUAGUAUGUAGUCUAAUUCUCUUUUGUGAUAUAUUAGAUAUAUACACUUACACAUUUUUAAUAAUACAUAAGUUGUAACACAUACAGUUAUAUUAUUGAUUGUCAGUGCAUAUUUGUUUCAUUAAACUUAUUUUUUUCCUUAUUUUUGUUUUUUAAAUGUGUCGUCAAUAGUAUAUUAUGAUGGUUUUUUCAAUGAUUGUGACAACUACAUUAGUUAUAGUGUUUUCAAAAUAUUAAUGAAUGAACAUAUACCUUUUCAAGACAUGUAUAAUAGUCUACUAUCCAAGUUAGGUAGUUAUAUUGAUAUAUACUUAUAUUCCUUCCAUUGCAUAUUUGUUUCAUUAUUAUUAUAUAUCACUGCAUUGUGUUGUGACCUAUAUAAACAACCGUAUAUUUAAAAUAAUACGUAAGCAAUAACACAUAUAGUUCUAUUAUUUAUUGUUAGAUAUGUUCAAAAUUGUUGAAUAUUAUGAGGUCAUCUUGUUCAACUAAUUGUUUCAUGUUAUUAAUUUUCUUUCUUAAAUUAUGUAAUAUAGUAUACAAUAUAUAAUGAACUUAUUUUUUUCAAGCUUUUGGAUGCUGGACCAUUUAUUCCUUUUUAGGAUCAAUGGUGCACCCUACGAACGUACAACAUAAAAAAUAUCAUAUAGUUUAUAAUAUAUAUCAUAUAUCAUUAAGCACUAAGCAUCACACACAUAAUAUAUAAUUAAGUAGUAGACACAUAAUAUUUCAUAUAUGUUACAGUAUAUAUUAAAUAUCAUUAAGUGUUAAACAUUAAGCAUCACAUACAUUAACACUAAGCAUCACAUACAUAAUAUAUCUUUAAGUAGCAAACACAUAAUAUAUCAUAUAUUAUACAAUAUAUAAAAAAUAUCAUUAAUAAUACAUUUUUCUAAUCGUAUUGAUAUAAAUUUGUAAUUCCACAUGAUGUAAAAUUUGUUACAAAAUUAAAAUACAAGGUAAAAUAUGCACAAGUAUAUUGUUAUAUAAUAUUAUGUUAAAUAUUCAGGAGUACAUAAUGAUCUAUUUAAAUCGAAAACGGUUUCAAUCACGGUAAGAUUUUACAAAUUAACUUCCAUUAUAUGAAAAUCAAUGCAAAUUUGAUGAAAUAUAAUAAGUAUAUAAUAGAAAUUAUUAAAUUACGUGGAAUAUAUGAAAAACAAUGCAAAACGAAAGAAAGAAUGGGCGGAAAGAGAGAUUGAAAAGUGUGAGAGAGAUUGACAUUGAAUACAUAUCUCUCCCGAGAUAACGCGUCAAACACCUAGUGAGUGGAACAACUCUUCUCCUUGUCUCUUUGUAAAACUCUUCGAUUGAGUCUUAGAAACCUUCACAACUUUUGUAAUGGAAAAACAACUCAAUGAAAUACAAAAACACAGCAAAAUAACUUAACUUCUUCUCUUUAUUAACUUUAUGCUUACAGAAGUACAAAAUACAAUUUACAACUUUUGCUUUUUGUAAAAUAAACCAACUUUGAUCAUUUCACUGCCUUCUUCUUUCCACCAAGUUGCAGUCUUUCGAGCUAUGGUGUAAGACUCCAAUCUAGGCCUCUUUCCCUUUUCUCGUCUAAAAUCCAUCUCGAGGACAUCUCUCAAGAUCUUCCUUUCCCUUUUUCAUCGCUUCAAUUGCUUCCUUGAGGAGGGACACUUAGACGUGUGAAGUUCUCCUUCCUUUCUUUACCUCACUCACCCAACAACUUCAAUUCAAAAGACAAUCUUUAGGGCUUCCUUUUUCUGUCUUAAUUCUUCAAUUCUUAUGCUCUCUCUUCCUUGCUUAAUUGAGGUUGAGGCGUUAAGAAGUAACAACCUUAUAAACUGACUUCUUAAACGUAUGAUGAGAAGCCAUGACUAGCACGCCAUGUAAGACUACACAGUAACUCUAUCUUCCCUCAUUAACUAAGGUACAACGCCUCAGAACCAACCUUCUCAUGGUCUUAAUGCUUCCCAACCUGGAGAGGGAAAAAACUUAAGACGUAAGUCAAAUAGAUGGACUUAGUGAGCGACAAGUUUUGAGAAAACCUUUUUGGAAAAAACACAUAGAAUCCACAAAAAAUAAGAUCAGGCCACAUUAUAUAAAGUGCAUCCCAUCAAGCCACAACAAAUAAUGCAUACCGAACCAACCACCAUAAUUCAAACAACCACACAGAGAGCGCUACAAUGCCAUACGCGAAAAUCAUUUCGCAACAAGCUUAACUCUGAGAUCUGAGAUUCUCCCCUCGCUAAGACUUAGGAUUUGCACUCACUAGUAUCACACAAGUUAUUUGGGAUCUUUACCCGCGUCUAGUCUUAUGAAUAUGUCAUAACUCAUAACCACACAAAUUCAAAAUAAGGGAGCAAUCAACUCAUCGCUUACUCGUAGCACAAAUUAUCAUAGAUUAGUAAGGCAUCUCAUAAACAAUAAUACUCAAAAGAUCAUGUUUGAAAAAUAUUUCGUUCCAUCACCUUUGGAAGAAUACUCAAAUCUAUUCAUAGAAAAUAUUUAAUCGUUCAUUGAAAAACAUUCAUAACUCGCAUUUAAAUAUAGAAGACGUUUAAUCACACAAUCAGUUAUAAAACAGAUCAUGUUACGUACAACAACAAAACAUAUAAAACGUAUUUGAUCAUUCACAAAAGAGUAAUUAAUCAUCGAAAACGUUUAUAAAUCACAUUUAUCACUUUCAAACAAUACUUGUAAAACGAUGUAUCAAUCAUAAACAAAACGUAUAAUUCAUUGUCACCUACAAUAGAUAAUUAGCCUCAACCCCUUCAUUCUCCCCUUCCGGUUUUCUCCUCUCAUUCAACGGUUGAAGGAACCGUUCGUUCCGUAUUCAAAACUUUAUUCUUUCACUUUCAUUAGAAAAUCUCACUUUUUGGAAAAAAAAAAACCUUUUCUUUUCUUUCGAUUUUCGGCCUUAUUUAUAGAGGCCUUUCAUUUUUAAGGGUCACUUCUAUACUUUACACGUGUCACCUUACUAACACGCCACGCUAUGCCACCAAUCCAAACUCGACACGUAAUCUAACUGUUAGGAGUGAUUUGACUUUCCUUGGAAACGCACACCCUAUUUAUUUGGGAAGCCAAACUCUUAAUUGUUCGACUGUCCUUGACUAUAUUAUUAAAUUUUCAAUCGACUAAGCUUUGAAUGCUAUUAGAAGAUAUUGAUGAGCCAUGAUGUGAACAUUACAAUAACGGUUUGGUUUCAUCUAUUUAGAGAUUAACUAUUAUAAAAAUAAUAGAGGAAUAUAUAUUUUGAUCAAUAUUACCUUUAGAGCAAGAAAGUAACAGUUAAUUUAAAACUUUAAUGUUAGGAAUAAAAGUUGUUCCUUGAGAAAAUUAAAAUAAGAAGAAGAAUGGAGACCUAUUUUUCUUUCCCUUUUACUUCUUUUUCUUUUCAAAAUCAAAAUAAGAAUAAAAAGUUAAGGGAGAAUAAAGGGAGAGGAAUAAUAUUGGCAAAAGUUUCUCCAUUUGAUAUAGGUCUUCCAAAAUUUUUCUUCAUAGCUUAACUUGUCUUCGCUUUUAAACAAGAGAGGAAAACGAAGGUUUGAAGAUCUUUGAGAUGGUGAUAUUACAAACAUUUCUUUUCUUGGAUUUUUUCCUUAAUUAAUCAUCGUUGUAAUUAAAAUUUACACCCUCCUCCAUGCAUCUUUCAUUCUACCAUUAUCGUGUGACUUUUUAUUUGAAUCAAUUGUUUACCUUCUUUGCAUAACAUCUUACAAUCUUCAUUUGAUUACCUAUUCAAAAAUAAUGAGUGGAUUAAUUGUUAAGAUGUGGAUAGACUCGUUCAACUAUUAUAAAUGAGAGCUAACGAGUUUAAUUUACACAAUUAUAAAUGGCACAAGAGGUUUAUAAUAAAAUAGGUAAAUGGAUACACUUAUAAAAAUUCAAAGUUUAAAUUAAUACCACCUCUACUACUAUUUGCAUGUCUAUUGAUAAGUUGUUUUUAAAUAAGAAAAUACAAUCUAUCUACACUAGAAGGGCUACGUGGGAAAAACAUUAUUUAACAUUUUCAAUUUAAAGUAAUUUUAUUUUUUAAUUAUCUUAAAUUAUUUAAGUAAUUAUAAGUUGAUUUAUUAGGAUUUAAUUAGUAAUGGAUGUUAAUUAGUUUUUAAUUUGUGAGACCAAAAAAAUUGUUGUUUUGGUGGAAAAUUUUGAUUAAGUAAUUAUAUAUAUAAUUGGAGAACGGGGAAAAUUGAUGGAAAAAAUAAUUAUGCCAUUUAUAUAUACAUAAAUAGUUAUAUGUAUUUAUUAGGAAAAAAGUUUAUUUAAUGGGGAGAAAAAAAUUAAAAAUAUAUUUGAAUCUUUUUAAAAAUAUAAGACCAAAUAUUUACAAUUUCAAAAACGGAAAAGGUUGACUACUCUACAAUAAAUACAAUCUGAUUGAUUAAACAUGGGGUGUGUAAUAUAUUUGAAAAACAAUCCUUUACAUUUAACUAUUCUUUCUACACAAUCCCUAUCUACACGAUCACUAUCUACAUGAUCAUUUAGAUUUUUAUCAUUUAGAUUUGAACCCAAAUCUAAACGAUUUUUUAAAAAUAUCUUUUAGUACACAUCGUUUAGAUUUUAUAGUUUAAAUUUGGAUACCAAAAUCUAAAUAAUUGAGGAGCCAAAUCUAAACUAAUUUUUUCGUAAUUUUUUUUAUCACCACUUGACCUGUAUUUUCUUUUUGCUCUUGCACUAUGAAACUAAGACAAUUUAGUAAAUUAAAUAUACGAAUUUGUGUAUUGGAUUUAGAAUAUCAAUUUUAAAAAAAAUUAACAAUUUAAUCGGACGCAACAAUUACGUAAAAAAAGUUGAAAAUGAAUGUCGUAUUUAAAGAAAUUAUUUCAAACUGUUUUACGAAAAUUGUGACGAUUUGAUAAAUUAAAUAUACGAAAUUUGUGUAUUGGAGGUAGAAUAUGAGAUUUUUUAAAAAUAAUAAUAAUUUAAACGCAACUAACGAUUAUGUAAAAAGGAUUGAUAAUGGAUGUCAUAUUUAAAGAAAUUAUUGCAAAUUAGUUUAUGAAAACUAGGAUGAUUUGAAAAAUUAAAUAUAUGAAAUUUGUGUAUUGGAGUUAGAAUAUGAAUUUAUUAAAAAUAAUAAUAAUUUUUGUUCAUGCAUUGUGUUCCAUGUAAUUGACUUCAGUUUAUAACUCCCUCCCUAGAAAAACUAUUUUGUUCUUCGUAUAUCGUUUCCUUUGAAUGAAAUUAUGGUGCCGGUAUUUGGUUUAAAUGGAUUAUUAAAUAUAUGUAAUUUAUGUAUUUCAUUUAGAAUAUCAAUUAAAAAACAAAAAUAUAAUUUAUUUACGUUAAAAAAAUUGAAAAUGGACGUCGUCUUUGAAGAAAUUACUAGAAAUUAUUUUACGAAAACUAAGAUGAUUUAGUAAAUUAAAUAUAUAUAAUUAGUGUAUUGAAGUUAGAAAACGAAUUUUAAAAAAAUAAUAAUUUAUUGGCACGAAACAUUUACAUAAAAAAACAUUGAAAAUGGACAUCGUAUUUAAGAAAAAUGCAACUUGUUUUACGAAAAUAUGAUAAUUUGGUCAGUUAAAUAUACAAAAUUUGUAUAUUUGAUUUAAAAUACGAAAUUUAAAAAAUAAUAAUAAUAAAUAAUUUUCAUAAUCCUUCCUCGAAACAAAUAUUAUCAUAACACUAUCUAUUAUAAUCAUUCUCCCAAACACACAUACAAUCGUAACAUUAUCAUUGAUUAUCCUUCCUCCAAGCACAUAUCAUCAUAAUAUUACAAAUAACAAACCUCCCCCCAAACACAUUUAUCAUAUCACUAGGAUUAUCUUAAUCCUUUUCCCUCCCCAAACACGUCUUUAAUUACUUCAAAAUCAAUUUAAAAUAAUUUUAUAUUUUUGUAAAGAUCAAUUUUAGUUGAGGUAAAACAUCAUUACUUAAAAAAAUAAUUGAUUUUGAUCGAAGAAAAAAACAAUUGUGAACAUCUCGAAAUCACUCCAAAACACAUCCACCAUGUUUUGAAUCAAAUUUUAAAAAUUUGAAGUUGGUUAAUAAAUUUGACCUCUUUUGAAAGGAUUGUGGCCUGGCUUCAAUUUUUGUACAAACUAUGCAAUCUUGUAAAAGUAGACAAUAGGUGAAUUUGAUUGCGUAGUUAGCACUGUAGUAUUUUUCCUUUUCGCAUUCUUUAACUCUUAUCUUAUUAUUGGUGGAGUGAUAAUUAGUUGUUUGUAAAAGUAGAGAAUAAUUAAGAGUCCCCAGAAUUGUAGCAAUUAUUUGGAGAGAUUAUUGAUCCUAUUGAAAGGGUUUCAAGAAUAUAUUGACUUGUAAUGAAAGAAGAACAACUCUCUCCCCUAUAAGAGGGAUUUCUUUUUCUAAGAUUCUCUCUACCUUUUUCUACAUCAAACAUUCAAUCUAAGUACUCUACAUGUCUACCAGUCAAAUGAUAAAAUUGACAGCCAUUAUUGUUAUUUCCACACGACCACAAAAUUUUCUCUUCAACAAUUUUUCAAAAAAAAAGGAAAAAUUAAAUUCAUCCGAGACUUUCACUUUGUAUAUAUUGACCCCUUCUAUCACAAAAGAAAAAUAAAAAAGAAAACCAAAGUUUCAAUGACAACAUGAAUUUUAUCUCUGCACCAGAGAUAAAGGGUCCAUUUUUUUUUUAAACAAUUACGAUUGGAAAUGAGUUUUCAAAAGUUAGUUUCGUUUUUUUUAUUAUUAUUGACAUAUUUGUAAGCGGUACUGAAGUAAACUUAUAGAAUUAUUUGAGUUUGUAAAAAGUGUUUAGAGCUGUUCUAAGACAUCUUUUCACACACAUGCUACUGCCUGUUGAGCUGGUGGGGAUUUGUUGUAACCAAAAUAAUUUUCUUUUAUCCAUUUCUUCCUUACUAUUUCUUUUUCUUUUUCAAAAAGGACGAUGAAACGUUUUCCACAAGAUAUUAUUUUCCAAUCGUAGUUAGUCCACUUUUUCAUCCAUUGGACCUGUGUGGAGCUAUAAAAGUUUACCUUCUUAAAAAACCUUCCAAAAAAAGGCUUUGUGUCAUAUUAAUUCAAGAUUUGUAACAUGGACGGUAGGGUUUAGGGUUCUUUCCUCACAAAACAAAUUAAUUUGUUCAUCAAUUGGUUUCACAAUUAUUAUGGUAAAAGUCAAAUAAUUGAUCUUUGCAAAUGAUAAUUGAUACUUUAUCAAUUAAGCUAUAUAUGUUUAAAUAAUAUGAGAUGUAGUGAGAGGUUAGAUAUAUAAAUAAUAUACACAUUUAAGUUUGAUUUAUGCCAUUUAUGUUAGCAUUAUAUUUGCUUGUAAUUAAAUGUUUUACAAAGCGAAUAGCAUCCAAAGAAGCAAAAGCAUCCAAUAAAGCAUAAUAUGAAACUGCCAUGCAUAUAUUCCUCUUUUGAAAACACCAAACAAAAAAGCUUAUCUUUGUCCUUCAAAGUGGGGUAUUGAUUCCCCUUCCACCAUAUGAAGAGAAUUUUAGACAACUAUAUCUUAUACGUUGAUUUCCUCAAACAACUUUAAAGUAAACUUUGACACCUUAAUUAUUGCAUGAUUCUCAACUUUUAGUUUAAAUCCUUUAAACAAAGCACUAAAAGUCUCCCCCAAAACCUUAUUACAUCUCAACAAGAUCUUACGCCAACGAAACAACAAACGUCGUUCCUUGCAACAAUAUCCUAUCGAGUCAUAAUACCAAACCAAAUGAGUUCACCUGCAGCGGGCGACAAGGAAGCGGAUUACAAGCUGAAGGACACGAAACCAAACCUUGGUGAGCGAUGGCCGCAUGGAGGGAUACGUGGAGGGGGUGGGUGGAUAACGAGCGAGAGAGCGACGAGCACAUACGAUCUUGUGGAGCAAAUGUUUUAUCUAUACGUUCGGGUGGUGAAGGCAAAGGACCUACCGCCGGACCCGGUGACUGGGAGUUGUGAUCCAUAUGUGGAAGUGAAGUUGGGAAAUUACAAGGGAAGGACUCAACAUUUUGAGAAGAAAACAAAUCCCGAAUGGAACAAUCAAGUAUUUGCUUUCUCUAAAGACAAGAUUCAAUCAACAGUUCUUGAAGUUUUUGUUAGAGAUAAAGAGAUGGUUCCAAGAGAUCAAUAUGUUGGAAAAGUGGUGUUUGAUUUGAAUGAAGUGCCUACAAGAGUCCCACCGGAUAGCCCAUUGGCACCACAAUGGUACAAGUUAGAAGAUCGAAAAGGCGACACCAAGGUGAUCUCAACUACUUAUAUAUCUUCCUUAUAUAUAUCCCUUUUAUUUGAUAAUCAUUUAAUUUAAGUUUUUGGUUUCGAAAAUUGAACUUAUAAUUAAUGUUACCAUUUAUCAAUUUUUUUGUUUUGUUUUUGUUUAUCUUUUUAGAGUUCCUUUUUUUCCAAAUUUCUACAAAUCUAGGAAAAAGAAAAAAAAAAAAAGUUGAAGACUCUGUUUGGGUAACUAGUAGAAUUUUUAUUUUUAAUUAAUUAUUUGAAAUUAAGCUUGUUAAUAUAAACUCUACCUCUUAGUUUUUCUUGUUGUAUUAUCUACUUCAUACCAAAUUAAAACAUCUGAGCCAAGUUUUGAAUAUUAAAAAAAAGUGAUUUUUGAAAUUUGAAAAUUGGCUUAGAAUUUUAUUCUUUUAUUUAUGAUAGAUAAAAAAAACCUGAUAAGAAUAUGGAAGAAAAUAGGGUUUAACUUUUAAAUACAAAAAGCAAAGAAUUAAAUGGUUGCAAUUUUUUUUUUUUUAAUUGGCUUGUUAGCUAAAAAGUUGCAUAUAUGUUUGUGGUAAUAUAAUUCGAGAUCGGAUGUUUUAAAUUGUUAAAUUUAAAAUUGAAAGGUUAAGGUUAAGAUUCACACAUUUUAUCUUAAACAAAUUUAAUUGAAACUAAAAGUUCAAUCAAACUAAUAGGUUAUAUGGUGAAUUUAAUUCUCAUAUAGGUGAAAGGAGAGAUAAUGCUAGCGGUUUGGAUGGGAACGCAGGCAGACGAAGCAUUUCCUGACGCAUGGCACUCUGAUGCAGCAUCGGUCCACGGGGAAGGCAUCUAUAAUAUUAGAUCAAAAGUGUACGUUUCUCCAAAACUAUGGUACCUAAGAGUGAACGUCAUAGAAGCACAAGAUGUUGAGCCACAGGACAAAAGUCAACCACCCCAAGCAUUUGCAAAAAUUCAAGUAGGAAAGCAAAUAUUGAAAACAAAGCUAUGUUCAACAAAAACCACAAACCCAGUUUGGAACGAAGACCUAAUCUUCGUCGUAGCUGAGCCGUUCGAAGAACAACUCGUUUUAACGGUCGAAAACAAAGUAUCAUCUGCAAAAGACGAGGUCGUGGGAAGAUUAAUAACACAACUAAACGGAUUUGAGAGGCGUUUGGAUCAUAGAGUAGUUCAUUCACGUUGGUUCAAUCUUGAGAAGUUUGGAUUUGGAACAUUAGAGGGAGAUAAAAGGCAUGAAUUGAAAUUCUCAAGUAGGGUUCAUUUAAGGGUAUGUCUUGAAGGAGCUUAUCAUGUAAUGGACGAAUCAACAAUGUAUAUAAGUGAUGUAAGGCCAACAGCAAGGCAACUUUGGAAACAGCCAAUUGGGAUUUUUGAAGUCGGGAUUUUGAGUGCUCAAGGGCUUCAACCAAUGAAGAAGAAUGAUGGGAAAGGAAGUACAGAUGCUUAUUGUGUGGCAAAAUAUGGCCAAAAAUGGGUUAGAACAAGGACAGUAACUGAUAGCUUUAAUCCAAAAUGGAAUGAGCAAUACACUUGGGAGGUUUAUGAUCCUUGCACUGUCAUCACAAUUGGGGUUUUUGACAAUUGCCAUUUGGGUGGGAAUGAUAAGAAUGAUUCAAGAAUUGGGAAGGUAACAUACUAAUUCACCAUUACAAUUCAUAGCUUAAUCAGAACUAUAUUUUCAUUAAAUUGAAAAUUUCAUCCAAAGAAAAUUAGAAUUUAAUUCAACUAAAUUUGUUACGAAAAUAUUGGUAGAGAGUUUGUACGAUUAUAUCAUGUUAUAGAAAUUAUUUAUGAGAUCUUACCCAAUCAUAUAGUCUAAAUUUGAGAUUUCUAAAAAAAUAUAAAGACUAAAUUUGUGAUUUAGCUAAACUAUUAUUUUAACUAUUUGAAAAGUGAUUUCCAAUUUGGUAGAUUGGCUAAAUGUAUUUUGAUUUAUAUCUUCUUUUUCUUUAUAAAAGCUUUCAGCUUUAUUCUAUUUUGAUACUUAAGCUUUUAUUAUUUUAGUCUCUUUCAACUUUAACAUUACAAUUAUUUUGGUUUUAAAAUUUUGUAAGUGUUUACUUUAUUCAUUCAACUUAGAAAAUGGUCAUUCGAUUUCUAAAGUUUUUCGAUAUCUAUUUUAUUAUGUCCUUGAAGUUUUCAAUAUAAGUAACUAUAUUUUGGUGUUUAUUAAUGUGAUUUUAUUUUAGUGAAAAUAAAUAAAUAGUGUAUCUUUUUAAUAUAUAAAUGAGUGUGUUGAAAUUGGCAUUUAAGUCAUGUAGUUGGUGAAUGAUAGAACAUAUAAAUAGAAAAAUCAUUAAAGAAAAAUGUAAAAUGAUUAUUUUAAAAGUUAUGAACGGAAAUAGUUAAUAGAUUUGAUAAGAGCUCCAAUUCAAUAAGUUGGAAAGUUUAGUGACCAAGCUAAUAAUUAGGUGUAGUUCAUGUUAGUACGUAGAGUCCAUUAAUCUUAUUCAAAAACAGUGUGAUUUAAAAAAGGUUAAACAUAUGUGUCAAUCUUGUGAUUGAACACAAAGGAUGAGCGCAACCAAAUAUUUUUGUUUAACUAAUUCUUUUCAAUAUUAAUAUUAUAAUUAAUAAUUGAUUGUUUUAAACAGGUAAGGAUAAGACUUUCAACACUUGAAAUGGAUAGAAUCUACACCCAUUCAUACCCACUUCUUGUGUUGCAACCAUCCGGAUUGAAGAAAAUGGGAGAGCUCCAACUAGCCGUGAGAUUCACAUGCCUUUCCCUUGCUCACAUAAUCUACCUCUAUGGCCAUCCCCUCUUACCUAAAAUGCACUAUCUCCACCCUUUCACCGUCAACCAACUAGAUAGCUUAAGAUUUCAAGCAAUGAGCAUUGUAGCCACGAGGCUCGCUCGAGCCGAGCCGUCUCUACGAAAAGAAGUUGUAGAAUACAUGUUAGAUGUGGAUUCUCACAUGUGGAGUAUGAGAAGAAGCAAAGCCAACUUCUUUCGAAUAGUUGCUCUAUUCUCAGGCAUCAUCUCUAUGAACCGAUGGCUCGGAGAAGUUUGUCAAUGGAAAAACCCUAUUACUUCUGUCCUCGUCCACAUCCUCUACUUCAUCCUUAUAUGUUUUCCUGAACUCAUCCUCCCAACCACUUUCCUUUACAUGUUUCUCAUUGGCAUUUGGAACUUUCGGUUUCGACCACGACAUCCACCACACAUGGACAUAAAACUUUCUUGGGCUGAGGCAGUUCAUGCAGAUGAACUGGACGAGGAGUUUGAUACUUUUCCAACUUCGAAGACGCAAGACGUUGCACGAAUGAGGUAUGAUAGGUUGAGAAGUGUCGCCGGACGGAUCCAAACGGUGGUCGGGGACAUUGCAACUCAAGGGGAGAGGUUUAAGGCUUUACUUAGUUGGAGAGAUCCAAGAGCUACGAGUCUUUAUGUCGUGUUUUGCUUACUUGUGGCUAUUGCAUUGUAUAUUACACCGUUUAAGAUUGUGGCUUUGGUUGCAGGUGUUUAUUGGCUCAGACAUCCUAAGUUUAGGAGCAAAAUGCCAUCAGUUCCUUCUAACUUCUUUAGACGGCUCCCGUCUCGAGCUGAUAGCUUGCUUUAAAGGUUCAUAUAUUGGAUCCCCACUGUUUUAAGAAUCUAAUUCUGAAAAGAUUUCUCUUUCAAGUCUUAAUGUUUGUUUUUUUAUAUCCACCAAUGAUUUGGAAAAGGUCAUAAUUUAAUUUUUAUUUUUUAACAAAAUCAUCAUGUUUAUUUAUAAGGUAGAAAAGGUUUGUUAAAUAUUUAUUUCUCGAUGUUUAAUGUGUGGGCAUAUCUAUAUUUAUUUCAUGCCUACAUCACUUCCAUCAUAUUUUAAUUAAAAUUUAAAAACAAAGGGACAUUUAAAAAAGGAAUGCUGGCAAAACCAUUUAGGAAAAUUUAAAAUGUAGCUUGAACUUUUUAAAUAUCGCACAUAGAAAAAAUUCUCAAUUUUUUAUUUUAAUUUCUAUCAUAUUUCCAUUUUAUCCUAAAAUGUUUUACCUCCUCACACACCCUUCGUACUUAAACCCUAGCCAUCACUCCACUCUCAUGUUUCUAAAUAAAAGGCUAGUGUGUAAGUGAGAGAAAAAUGAAGAGCGUAAGCUCAAUAAUCGAACAUGCAACAGUGGGUGAUGACAAGUAGAAUGGUGGUCGACAACAAGUACUAAACCAGUGGUUGAUGACGGUAACAAGUUGGCGACGUUGGUUCUUCUUUUAAGAGAGAGUAGUGAGCAAACAUGUUGUGGAAGAGUCGUAGCGUUGACUCAUGACAAUAGAACGGUGAUAGUUGAGCAAAGCGGUGGUAGAGUGGGGACCGACAAAGUAUUGGUUGAUGAAAGAAGUAUUGGAGGGGUUUGGAGCAUGUGAAGGAAGAUGAAGAUAUUUUUUUUCUUUUUUUUUCUUUUUUCUUUUAUCUUUAUUUUUAUUUUCAGUUAAAUUUAAUAAACACUACUAUAAAUUUGGUCUGUGUUGAAGCACGCAAAUUUUGAUUUCUUGAUGGUCUUGACAAAGGACCAUCAAGAAAAAUAUUUGUCUUGAUACGAUAUUUAUCUUGACUGUCAUGUACGUCAAGAAAAGUGUCUUUAUUUUGUUGAAGAAAUACGGAAAAACAUAAAAAAAAAAUGUGGAUUCUUGAUUUUCUUGAUGGACAAAGAUCCCUUAAUUUUGUUGAUAGUUCACAAACAUCAAGAAAACUAUUUUUGGAUGGACUAUAUGUCACACCCCGAUUUAGGUUUUUCUCUCUAACCUAAAUCGUGGCAUGAUAAGACAUUUUUGAAAACGACAUUUUUCAACUUAAAUUUUAUAGAAAUUACAUUAAGAAAUUCUACAAAAAUUUUGGCAGCAUCUCCCCUAAAAUUUGAGGUAGCCAAACCUGAAAAUGGAGAUAUCUUCACUUCUAAACGUAUAUAACUAGAUUUCAGAUACUACAACACAACAAGUGUGUCUCACCACACACCUCCAGACAAUCUCAGAGUGCAAGUAGAGUUUAAGAAUCAAGCUAGAUAUUACAUACAAAACGAUUACGUUCUAAUGAGGAAACUUUCAAAACACAAGUCCUUAGCGUCACCCUUGUUACAUCUAACCACCCCAUGAUACAAACGCAAAAUUAUAAUCGAUGACGGGGAUUCAACCGACGCUUAGUCCUUGGCCGCUACCUGGGGAAGAAGAAAAACAUUGAAAACAUAAGCUGAAAGCUCAGUGAAUGACAAAUAAUUAGAUAUGAAAAAUUGUAAAAUAUGCUCAAAAUAACGUGUAAGUAUGCAUUGAUAAUGAAAUAAUUAUAAAUCAAAUGUCAUCAUUACAUAAUACUAUACAACACGGAUCAAGCCGAUAAACCUGUACUCAAUCCACCAUGACAAGGAAUCUAAAUAUACGACCAAGAAUAGCUCGCACAUGAUCAAAGAAUCAUGCGGUCACAACUAGCUCACACAUAUUUAGUACUGACCACGAUAGUAACCUCUAUCCAAUCCGACCAUGAUAGCAUACUAAAUACACGAUCCAAAAUAGCUCACACAUGAUCCAUAUACACAAGGAAACAUGCGGCCAAAUAUAACUCACAUAAUACUUAGCACCUACCAUAGUAACAACAUCCAUCCAAUCCAACCAUGAUAGCAUACUAAAUACACAGUCCAAAAUAGCUCACAUGUGAUCCAUAUCCUCAAAGAAACACACGGUCAAAUGGGGCUCACGCAUACUUAGCACCUACCACAGUAACAACCUCCAUCCGCUCCUAUGUGCACAUAGAGCCACCCACAAUGUGUUAAACUAGGCCUGAAGCCAUAUCUCAAUCCUCCAUCCAUAUCCUCACUUAAACUCAAGUUCUCGGAUCUCUGGUCACGGUCUCUUUCAGCCCCAAAAUCCUCUGACAAUCGUAGGUAGUGCUUCGGAAACACAUUCGUGUAGCUUAUGGGUAAAUCACCAUCAUUAAUAAAAUCACAUAGUUCACACUUAAAAACCAGACAUGGUCCUUAGUCAUCAACACAUACUUUUUUAGUAACAUUUUUAUAAAAAUUCUAAACAUACACAUUCAUAAAAUCAUUGUGAGUAAAUAUGUUGUUUAAGCAUAAAUGGAAACAUAGUUAUAACAAGUUUAAAUUGGAGUAGUUUCCAAGUUAUAUCAUAAAUAACAUGUACAAGUACAAACAAAGCUUGAAAACGAGCCACUCAUAGUCAAUGACUCGAUCUUCCAGGAUUAUAUGCUCUUUCCACUUCAAUUUGGCCUAAAAUAAGGAUCAUGGUCAUAUCAAUAUCUUUAUAUGAUAUGAGGCUACAAUUAAUUGCAAAAGUACUUCGUAAGGUCGCUAAAAUCUAUUUGAUGCUUCUAAUGUCCUUGAAUCUAUAAAGCGCCUAAGAUUAGACUAAACAUUUCACAUACGAUCCCUUAAACUCGCGGAAAUCUCAAUACUUAACCCAAUGAGCAUCCAACUUAGUUCAAGCUCAAUGGGUCCUUUACUCCAUAUUUUUCCAAAAAUUUGCCAGCUUUAAUAGGCUAACUUCAACUACUCAUAACUUCUUCAAUACUUAAUAAACAUUUAUGUACUUUAUAUCCAAAUCUUCAUUUUGGAAUCCUCUACAACUUACUUGAAGGAAUAGAAAUGAGAUUUCCUAGGGAUUAACACAAAAUUCGCCCGAAACGCAGGUAAGGAAAACUCACAUCUUUUGCUUACUUCCAAUUUUGAUCUGAAUUUAACCUACUUUCCUUCAUUUUUAGUUCAUGAUUUGUUUGUGAAAGUUGUAGGAAAUUUAACAAGAGCUCCUAACUCAAAGAGUAUAAUUCAGAAUACAAAAAAAAAACUAGAGACUUUAUGAAUUUGUUUUAAAAAUUUGUGAUCCAACUUCUUCCACAAAAAUCAUCAACUAAACUUGAGUAUUUGCUUGAACUUCCUUCACAACUUUUGUUGAAAAAUGAAUUAACUUUGAAAUAAAACUAACCUUAUAUUUUAAUUCUUCUUGUGUAGCUCAAACCAAAAUAAAAACUACCAAUGGUCUGUGAAAACCAUUCCAAACCUUACCAUUAACUUAAUAAAUACCAUUAACUUCAAUGAACAACACCCCCACUACCUUCUAAAUUCGAAAAUUAAGCAUCCAACAUCAUGGUUUAUUCGAUACUAUCACUAAAAUUAUAUGGGUAUCAAGACUUACUCCAUAAUGCUUAGAAACUUACCCAAGUUGUGCGAAAAGAUCCAAUUCCAAGCUUCCUAAAGGCUGGACAACAACUAAAAUCUUCACAGACUCCAAAUCUAACAACAAAAUUUAAUUGGCAUUGCAAAAUCAAAAUCUGCAAAAUCGAAACUUAAUGGGUGUUCAAAAAAACAUCAAGUAAUCCAACUAAAAUUAGUAAACCCUUACCUGAAACUCCAAAAUCCAACUAUCAAUAACAAGAUUGAGUGAGAGGAAACUCUGUACAUGAGAUUUAUUCAAAACCCAUGCAAUAGUGAUGUGAGUUGUAACUUGAGCAACCAAGGGACGAUGCAGCUCAGAAACAACUGAACCAAGUCGGUGUUGCGUUUCAGAUCUAGCGUGGAUGACGUGUGUUGUGGCGGCUGAUCGUCGACUAGCGAAUCAAACAGGGGUUCCUCGUCGACGUGUGGGUGUGCAACCUAUCAGUUGUGGCGUCUUAGAUUCCUAUCCAAUUCCUAAAAGAAUUAGGAAUGAUAUUUAAGAUUUUUUAAAACAAAUCUAAUUCCUACAAAGAUUAGAAAUGAUAUUUAAUCAUUUUUUAUAACAAAUCUAAUUCCUAAAAGGAUUAGAAAUAAUAUUUAAUUUUUUUUAAUAAUAAAGAAAAGAUAAUUCAAUUAUCUUAUCUUAUUAUAUUCAAUAUUUAAAAUAGAAAAGAUAAUCUAUCUUAUCUUAUUUUAAAUUUUUUCAUUUUUUGGGAUAAUCAUGAGUUUAUUUUUUUAGACAAUCAAGGUGUUUGGAUAUUAUCUCCUAUUUUAAAAUUAAAAUUUGGGUUCAAAAUCCAAGUCAAAUUAACUUACAUAUGUGGCAUUCUAUUUAUCUAAAAUUAAAAUCGAAGUCAUCAAUCCAACUUUAUCCCAAAAUGCAGUCUUUUAUUUAUCUCAAAUUAAAAAUGGUCAUUCCAAAUUCUUGUGCAUCUUGAAGAUAAGUUAGGGUUUGGUAGAAACACAUCAUCCUUAUUUCAAAUUAAAAUUUGGUUAUGUUCCAAUUUUUUUUUUUAGAAAAAAAUGAAAUUUAAAAUUUUAUCUUCAAAUCAAAUUGAAUUAAAGAUAAAACCCGAAACUUUUCUCAAAUUAAUUAAGGUUUAGCCAUAUACCAACUCUUAUUUCAAAUUUAAAUCAAACUUAUGUACUAAUUUCAUAGUUUGAUUUUUUUUAAAAAAAUGAUCAUAUUUUGACUUCAAAUUUAUCUUUUUCGAGAUUCAUUCAUCAAUUACGUGCAUAAAUCUCGAAAAUGGGCAUUUGUUGAAUAUGAAAUUUUAAGACCAAUCAUAAAUUACCACAUCAUUUACUAAAGUAAUGAUGUAAAGUACAAAUAAUUGAAUUUGAAACUAAUUAAAAAAUUAACAUAUGUCCCAAAUUAAAAUUGAAAACAUAAACCGGUCAAUUAUGAUAAUGUCACAUGUUUUGAUCAUAACUUUUGGAUCAAGUUAAUUAUUUUGAUUCAAUUAAAUAUUAUGUAUUAGGGCUAAGUUCAAUUGAGCAAAAAAAAAUAGGACUGUCAAGAAAAAUAACAAAUUAUGACUUUUACUUUGAGAAAAUAACAAAAAUAUAAAUUGUUAAAAUAACAAAACAUAAAAAAUAAAAAAAUAAAUAACAUAUAUGUAAGAUACAAUUGUUCACCUAAAUCUCAAAGACAUUGUAAUUGAAAUAUAUAUGCUACAUAAAAAUUUCCUCCAAAAACAUAAAGAUUAGAAAAUUUUCCUCCAAAAACAUAAAGAUUAGAAAAGUUAUCAUUAAAGGGAAGCUCAAAAUUUAAAAAUCUCUGAAAGUGAUCAUUUUUUCCUUGGAUUUCAGCCGCUUACUUCCUUCUUUCAUUUGAAACCCUAAAGAAAGUAUGAACCAUUUGAAACCAUCAAUUCAUCAAAGAAUUCAAAAGUGGAGCAGUGUUGAUAUUAUAAUAAAGAUGAAAUCAUGAAAUUAUACCAUAGAAUUCAAAACUAAUAUACAUCUUAGCAAGAUACGCAUCGGUGAGUUCGUCUACUCAAUUCGGUGAGUUCUUCAAGUUCUUCAUACAUUCAAGAUUCAUUUGAGCUCUUUUCUUCUCUUGUUUGAAAACAAACUACCUCUCAUUAUAUUUGUCUCUGUUCGGCUGCUUCCUCUCUCAAUCACCUUCUUUUCUUUUCUCUCAUAAAACCUAAAACUAAAAUAUUCAAAUAAUUGUAAAAGUGUCAUUGAAGCAUAAUUAAAUUAUAAAAUUUAAAUUCAAAUUGUUGUUAAAAAUAUAUAUUUAAAAUCAAAUUCAAAUUGUUAUAAAAAAAUAUAUAUUAUAUAUUAUUUAAUAAAUUGUUAAAAAAUGGUUUAAAAUAUAACAAAUUUGAAAAUAUUGUAGAUAAUAAAAUAUAAUAAAUUAUUUAAAAUAUAACAAAUUCAAAUUCAAAUUUAUGAUGGGAUUAGAUUGAGGAAUAGUUGAAAAUCCCCCACUUUUUUAGGAAAAAUAUUUAUUAAAGAUAAGUGAAUUAAAUAAAUAAAUGUUAAUUAAUUUGAUUUAAAUACUAAAAAUUUGAAAAUGGGUUAUGAAUUGUAGACAUAUAUUUAGUAGAUAUUGGAGAAAUCUUGCCAAUCCUAAAAAUAUCAUAAAUUAGUUAAUAUUUUUCAAAACUGAUUGCAGUUUGCAAAUACAUCGUAUCGGUAAAACACAUAUUAUCCUACAUAAAAAGGUAUAAACACGUAUUGUCCUACAUAAUAAGAUAUAAACACGUAUUAUCCUACAUAAUAAGAUAUAAACACGUAUUAUACUUAUUGAUUUAGACAUACAUAGCAAGGAUGAUUGGAAAUAAAACGUCACAUACAAAAUAAAACGUCUAAUUAAAAUAAAUAUGAAUAUUAACGUAAUUAAAAAACACAAUGUGAAAAAAUAAUUAUUUGAUACAAGUGGCACAAUAAGUUAUGUUUUUUUAAAAUAAAAAUCAACCAAAAUAAGUGUAUGAUCAUAAUUAGCACGUUUAUAGGGAUGAAAUAUAAUGACUCAGGAAUUGUUGAAAUUCUCAUAACCAUUUUUUAUAUUAUUCAUACGUACUAUUUAUUAUCUAACAAUUUUUUAAAAAUAAUUUGAAAUAUAAAUCAUAUGAAAAAUAGUGAAUUGAUGAUUGCCAUUAUUUUAGGGUUUGGAUUUCAUAAUAUUUGAAUUCAAAAUAUUUAUAAAUCUAAUGAAUAAGUAACAGUCGAAAAUCUUUUAGCAAUUUUUGCGAAAAAAUCUUUAUUAAACAUCUUUUAUGAAUUAAAUAAAUAAAUGUUAAUUAAUUUGAUUUAAAUACUAAAAAUCCAAAAAAUUGUUAUGAAUUAUAGACAUAUAUUUAGGGAAUAUUGGGGAAAUCUUGUCAAUCCCAAAAUAUCAUAGUUAAUAUUUUUCAAAACUGAUUGUAGUUUGUAAAUACCCUAUAUGUGAUAUUUGGCCUCAUUAUUUGCACGCAAAUACAUUGUAUCUGUAAAACACGUAUUAUCCUACAUACAAGGUAUAAACGGGUAAAAAAAAUCUUUGAUACAUUGUGUGUAGGUUGUUGUGUAUUUACUUCAUUGUUCAAACACGAUGUAUUUCUGAUUGACCCAACAGGUGCAGAAUCAACAACCACGACAAAAUCAUUGUCAGAGAAUUUUGUCAUAAUCCACAUAAGCCACUACACGUCUUCGUCUUCAACAAUCUGAAUAAGGUUUGAACUAUUGCAUCCAUCCCAAUAAAGGGUAAUGUGACACACAAAAAGAUCUAAAGAUGGAAAAAGUUUAUCUUGAAUGCACUGUAAGAAUACUUGAAAUGAAGAUGAGCAUGAAACAAAUACAUCAACCACACGAUACUCAAUAUAUCGAGAAUAUUCCAUCCAUCUUCCAUAAAAAAAGAGUCUUCACAUGUUGCAUUGUCAUUAGAAGAAACAAUAGAUGAUAAAGGUAAAGGAAUUAAAAGAUAGACGAACAAUAAAGUCGACAGUUGCUGAGAAAAAAAUUCUAAAAUAUGAUAAAUGCAAAAUUAUUUACCAAACUACAAAUAAAUUCAUUUGAAUAGUGUUGUACCUCAAAAUAAAAGUCUAAUUAAAAAACUAUGUAGGCUAAAUGAUACAAUUAGAUAAUUUUAGAUAAAAAUCAUAUUAUUCUCUUGAAUUUUUUGGGAUAUUGGCAUUUGAAUAAUAUUGUUUAGUGUUUUGGUGGUCUUAAAUCAAACUUUAAAAUGAACUUUUAAAUAAUAUUAAAUAAUAUCUAUGGAAAAUAUAUCUUAUUUAACGAUAGUUCUAUAAAAGGAUUUUAUUCCCCCUAAUUUCGAUGCAUUUAACGUAUGUAUCAUUAUUUUAAUGAAAAUUUUGUCAUUCAUACACAUGUUAUACUAACAUAUAUUUUUGUUAAAUAAUGUUAAUUCAUUAUUAUUAAUAUGACCAAUUCAUUUAUGAAAUAUUUGUUACAUGCAUAAUUAUAGGGUUUAGGCACGAUACACUAAGUUGUUAUUAUAUUAAAUGCAUAAUUUUAGGGAAAGAUAUAAUUUUAAAUUCAUUUUGAAGAUCUUCCAACUAAAACUUUUAAAAUCAAGUGAUAAAAUAAAUAUUUAUUACAAUAUAUAUAAUCCGAAAACAAUUAAGGAUAAAUAUGAAAAUUUUUGAAUUUAUAUGAUAUGUUUAGAUAUUAAUAAUAAUUAACCAAACCUUAAGGAACGUACAAUGAAUAAAUUAUAAUGAAUCAUUUUAUGAAAAAUUAUGUAUUUAUAAGAUAUAAUAACAUGUUAUUAAGAAUUAAGCAAAGAUUAUAAAACGUACCCUGUAGGAAUAAUAUUAUCAAUGAUUUUAUGGUGUAAAUUAAAUAGUGUGAAAUAAAUAUAUAUUUUAUUAAAAAUAAUUUGUUAAGCAUUUGAUUUGAAGUGUACAAAUCUGAUUAUCGGUUAUAAAUUGAAGGCAUGAAUCUAACAUUUGUUGGUUAAAUGAGAUCAAUAUGAAAAAUAAAUAUUUAUUUAAUAUUAUUAUAAAAUUGAAUUAUAUGCAAAUACACUAUAAUCGUAAUUCUGUGUUACAUUAUAUUAUUUUACGCUGCAGAAAUACACUAAGUGAAAAAAAAUGAGUUUCAUAUUAUCAAUGGAUAAAAUUGGUUCAAAAUUUGUCAAAAAAAAAAAAAAAAAAAGAUCUAUUUCAUGCGAUUUUACCAAAUAUCAAAUUAUUUUGAAAAUUUUAUAUUUUCCAAAUUGUACUAUAUUAUUUUGUCAUUCUCACGCUUAUCUAAAAAAAUAAACUUAAUUGAGUUCAAAAGCUAAAUAUGACUCAAAUCCAUGUGAUUGAAUCCAUGGGUCUGGUCCAUGGACCAACUAGGCUCAAGCCUAUAAAACCCACCAGAGAACUCUAUAAAUAAAGCUCUCGAAUUGCUCAUUUUUUAUUUAAAGGAAAAAGACUGAUUUGUCAUUUCUUGGUCGAUCAUUGAAUAAAACGUAAACACAAGUUAAGUAAGGGCUUAUUAUUGCUCGUCUACAAAUAUCCAAAUUUUUAUGCCUAAUAUCCCAUAGAUAGUUCGAACUGGAUAGCAACAAUAAUCAAUUUUAGCUCGAAUGGUUUGUAGAGGAACCCGUCCUUCUCUGAUCCAUUCGACACGUGCAAUUUCUUUUCCGUCUAUACGUCCGGCAAUUUGUACUUGAAUUCCCUUUGUACCCGCCUGUUCAGUUAAUUCAAUAGCUUUUUUCAUUGCUUUGCGAAAUAUCAUUUGUAAGAGUUGAAAAUUUUUCUCUAGAAAGUCUAGAAAGAAUUCGUCUGUUGAAGUCAAUUGCGCUCCCUUGAAGAUUGAACCUCCUUUGAAGAUACAGACUUUCUUCCAAGACUCAAACUUCAAGAACAUCACAUAUUUCGCUUGUUCAAAUCAAGCACAAGCAUCCAAUCGAGAGAGAAUCAGAUGAUCAAAUUCUAGUGAUCGAACCACAUCGCAUCAAAUCAAUAAAAAUAUAACAUUAACUUAAGUUCAACUUCAUUUGAAUCAAAUUUCUUCUGAAAUCUUGUGUGAACAACAAAUUUUUUGUUAAUCUUGCAAACUGGAAUAAAAAACAAUAAUUACACAAAGAAAAAAGAAAUAAAAUAAAAUAAAUAAUAAAUUAACUAAACAAAAAAAAUAUUAAAAGAUUUCCUUGACGCACGUUUGUCACGUCGGAGAAGGGUUUUUGCCACGUGAUGUUGCAAAAAGCCUUCCCGACGUGCUGACAAUGUGCUCUGGUGAACGUUUUUCCGUCGUCGACAUGAUCUACUUUGGGAAAAGUAUCCCCGACGUUCCUUCUGACGUCAAAGUAAACUUUUCCAACGUGUUUUGAGGUUUUUGCCGAUGUGAGGCUGCGUUGGGAAAGACCAUAUUUCUUGUAGUGAUAAUUGAGUAUUUAAAGUUUUUAUUGAAAUUUUAGUAUCAUCUUUAAUUUUUUAUAAGAGAGAUUUUAUUUAUUUUAGUAGUAAUGAUCUCAACUUAGUACAAAGAGUUGGAUAAUUAUAGUAUUACCCUUCAACCAAUAAUAUAAAUUCAAAUGGAUUAAAUACUAAAAUAUUGUUAUUUCUAAAACUUUUACCAAAAUACUGCAAUUUCAAAAUUGUUUACAAAAGUGAUGUUUUUUUUUCUCUAUCUUCGGGCAAGUCUUCAACACUCACCCAUUUCCUUCUUUUUCUCCCCCUCAAGACUCGCCCAAUCUUUGCCUUUUUUUUUUCUUUUUAAAAUUUAUUUAUUUAUAGUUUUUCAUAUAAAUUUUGUUGUUGUCUUUUUAAAAAAAUUAUUUGUACACAUUUUAACUCCAUGGCCUGUUCUUCUUCUUUUUUUAAUAUUUUUAUAUUAAUUUUUAUCUUUGUUCUUCAAAUUUUCAUAUAAUUUUUAAUAAAAUUUUAUAAGAAUUAUUAAAAUUAUUAUUAUUUAUUUAUUUAUCAGGUAUUUAUGUUGUCAAGUUAUACUAAUACUCUACUCUUGAAAUUUUAAAUUUUCUUAAAAAAUAUUUAAUAACAUUAUUAUUCAUGUAUGUUUUUUUGUUACACAAAAAAUACACUCUUGAAACUUCAUAUUUUUUUUAAAAAAAAUUUAAUUUUGUUUAGAGCACCCAACAAAUUUUAAUGAACAUUUAAAAAAAUAUUAACGUUAUCUUGUGUUUGUUAAUUUAUUUUGUCAAUCAUUCGAGUAUUCCUAAAAUUUGAUUUUUUUUUAAAAUUAGUAUAGUUUAGCUUUUAAGAAAAAAAAUUAUCUUAAAAAUUAUAUGAAAAAUUGAAGAAGAAAGAUAAAAAUUUAUAUGAAAAAAUAUUAAAAAAGAAGAAGAAAAAGUAAUGGAGUUAAAAUGUAUACAAAUAAUUUUUUUUAAAAAAAAACAACAAAAUUUAUAUGAAGACGACCAAGAAGAGGAGAAAAAGAAGGGGGUGAGUAAAAGAAGGAAAUGGGCGAGUGUGAAGACUCGCUCAAAGAGAGAAAAAAAGAAGUAUCAGUUUUGAAAUUGCAGUAUUUUCGUAAAAAGUUUUAGAAAUGACAAUAUUUUAGUAUUUAAUCCAAAAAUUAUGAAGAAAUAAAUUUGGAUUCAUUUUUUUAACCAUUACUAAAAAGUGAAAAGUAGAUAACAAAUUGUAAAGUUGUAAUUUUACUUGGUUUUGAAAGAAUCCUAUGUAUUCAUAUUAACGAAAACAAGUUUCUUCCAGAUUUGAUAACAUUUCUACGUGGGUCCUAAGUAUUUCCCAUUUUAAAUAAACGUUGUGUGUGUGAACUGAAUGCAACUGAAAAACAGCAUGCUUUUUGCACACCAUUUAGAAAGCUGUCUCAGCUUUUUCUUCAUCAAACAGUAAGGGAAAAUGGUAUCAAAUUCUUGAAAAUUAACUUUCUUAACCAUUUAAAUUCCAAUAAUCAACCAGCUUUAUAAACUAAAUAUUUCUUGCAAUUAAAAUUGAAUGAAAGGAAUUUUAUUUAUAAACAGCUACAUCAUCCCCUCCAUUUUGUUCGAACAUAUCCAUUCUUCUCAAACCCUAAACAACAACAAUGCAUUCUCCCAACCUCCUCCUCCUCCUCCUCCUCCUCUUCUUCUUCACUGUUUCAUAUGCAGAACUUUGCCAUCCAAAUGACAAAAAGGUCCUCCUCAACAUCAAAAAAGCCUUCAACAAUCCCUACAUUCUUACCUCAUGGAAACCUGAAGAAGAUUGUUGCACUUGGUAUUGUGUUGAAUGUGAUCGGAAGUCCCAUCGGAUCAUUGCCCUCACCGUCUUUGCCGACGACAAACUCUCUGGCCCAAUCCCACCCUUUGUGGGUGACCUCCCGUUCCUCGAAAACCUCAUGUUCCACAAGCUCCCAAAUCUCAUUGGCCCCAUCCCACCUACCAUUGCAAAACUCAACAACCUCAAAUACCUUGACCUAAGCUGGAACGGUCUCUCUGGUCCUGUCCCCAGCUUCCUCGGCUCCCUUUCCAAUCUCGAUGUUCUCGACCUCUCCUUCAACCGUUUCACUGGCUCCAUCCCUAGCUCUCUUGCCAACCUCCGCCGCCUUGGAACUCUCCAUUUGGAUCGAAACAAAUUGACAGGACCCAUACCCGAAUCAUUUGGAAACUUCAAGGGAAAAGUCCCUUAUCUCUACCUAUCCCACAACCAACUGUCUGGAAAAAUUCCAAUUUCUAUGGGGAAAGUGGAUUUCAAUUACAUUGAUUUGUCGAGGAACAAGCUCGUGGGCGAUGGAUCGUUGAUAUUCGGUUCAAAGAAGACGACAGAAAUUGUGGACUUGUCAAGGAACUUGUUAGAGUUCAACAUGUCGAAGGUUGUGUUUCCUCGAACCUUGACUUAUUUGGAUCUUAACCAUAACAAGAUCUUUGGGGAAAUUCCAACCGAGGUUGUGAAGUUGGAGUUGCAGAUGUUUAAUGUGAGUUACAAUGCACUUUGUGGUCGGAUUCCGAUGGGAGGAAAGUUGCAAAGCUUUGACGUAUACUCCUAUUUUCAUAACAAGUGUUUGUGUGGUAAGCCACUUGGUAGCUGCAAAUGAUGAAAUGGUGAAAUCACUCCCCAACACAUUCUCCAUUAUUAUUAGUGAUUUUAUUUUGUUUUUGUUGCUUUUUAGUAUGUUAUGAGAGUUUGUUUAAGUUGGAAUUUGUACAAAUUUGGAGUCUAGGAACUUAAUUUUUAUGUGGUUUUACCACAUGAAGAAUUUAACUUCCAUCUACGUUAGCCUAGAUAUAUCCAAGUGUAAAUUUUCCAACUGUUAAAGCUAUGUCCGUUUUGUAGUUUGUUAUUAUCUUAUUGUAGCGGAAAAUAACGAGUUUGUGUUUAGCUUGUGUUGAGCCAUUAUACAAAUUCAGUACUUUUGUCUCCAAUACAUUAUCGUUUCAUAGCACACUUUUUUAACUUAUGUACAUAAGAAGAUUUUCUAAGACUGCUAUUAAAUAGAUUAAAACUAAUGUAACCUAAAUUAUUACUAUAAGUAUUUUGUCUACUCUUACAAAAUUUAAUUUCAAACCAUUUAGUUUUCAAUUUCAUGUUAAUUAGAUAAAAUUAGAGUGUUUCAUUUCAAUUUUCUUCCGCAACAAUGCUCGAUUAUCAAUCAAUUUAAAUCUAUCCAUCAACGAUAAAAAUCUAAAAUUUUGUUAUAUUUUAUAAAUAUAUUAAUUUAUUCUAUUAUAUUUAAAAAUACUUCCCUAUUUUAAAUUUCUCUUUUCCUCCUUUUUGUUUUUUUCUUUCCACAAGUUUGUUUGGUAUUAUUAAGGCAAAAGAUGAUCCUCUUGGGCAAGCUGUUGAUAAGCCUUGGAAGUACUUGAUUGAUUUUAUUUUGUAAACGGCCGUACGUUCUGCCAAUAUUCCUUCUUGUGAUACCCGUGAAGAGAGAUAAGUAUAGUGUGUAUACAUUCUUCAACUUAAAAUUUAUUUCAACACAACAUUUUAAUUUUCAUUCAAAUGAGAUAAAUAGAAAAAUUAUGUGUGAUAAAUGCUUUAUGGUAAUGUCAACAUUAUCAUUUUUUUCAUUUGAACUUUUCAAAACAACCAUUUUCCAUUAGCUUUUUCUUUUAAAAUGGAUCGGUUGAAAUAAUUAAAUAUAAUAGGGUGAGUAAGUACAAUGUAUUGAAGAUAUGAUAUAUAUAAGAACUAAAUAUACUUAGCAAACUUAUUACACCUCAACUAGAAAUAAUAUAAUCAAUGUAAUUAUAUUCAAACUCAAACAUUGAUUGCUUAUGAAGGAGACUACAAUGUUUGUCCCAACAUGAUAGAAGGAUUACUCUAGUAGCAGUAUAAUUUCAAAUUACUUGAAUCUGAAACAACGUUUCCACAAAUUUGCUCUUAAAUCAUCUUGAGAUUUUUUUUUAAAAAAAGAACUCUUCCAUUUUCGAAUAGGGUGCAAGAAAUGAUAGAACAAAGUUGCUAUGUACAUACUAAGUGUCUAAAAUAUAUAAUAAAUUUAAAAAAAUAUACAAAAAUGGAAAAGAUUUGUCAAAUUUAGGGCAAUUGAAUCAUGAGUUGACCGAUAUCAAACAUAACUCAUUUUAAAAUUAAGAAACGACAAAUUUAAAUUUUGUAUUUGUUAAAUUUAUGCAUGAAUCAUUAAGUUUUAAUUCAAUCUGAAAAUUUCUAACUUUCAAUUUAAUCUACAAAUUAAAAUCAUUUUUGUUUAUGUUUCAAUAUUCAAAUGCUCGGUUUUGCUCGUUUUAGUGUGAAUAUCCAACACGUGCGCCACUAAAAUAAAAUAUCAAUGAAUUUUAGGUUUGGCUUUACAUCGAUUAUACAAGCGUUAGAGGUGAUCAUGCAUAUAUAGAAAAUCUUAAAUGUCUUUUGUAUUUCGUACCGCUUAUCGUUCUGAACUAAUAUUUUGUAUUACGUACUACUUAUCUUUUGGUUACAAUUUAUCAUUUAAUAUAUAUAUAUCAAACAGAUUUUUUUAAAAAUAUAACAAAACAACGAAAUAUUUACACGGUAUAAAACAAUUUUGAAAACGAAAAAAAGCUCACAACCCACAAUAGAAAAUACAAAAAAUAUUCCAUGAUUAAUUGGCGUAAUAUGUUUGAAAAAUGAUUAAACGAUUUUUUUCAAGAUUUUUUUGGUACGCGAUCGUUUAGGUUUGAUACAUGAUCAUUUAAAUUUGAGUAGCCAAAUCAAACGAUGUUUUUAAAAAAUUUUUGGUACGAUCGUUUAGAUUUGACACGUUUACAUUUUUUGGUACUUGGGGAAAGGAAAACUUAAACUAUAACCCAAAUGCAUAGUGUGUGAUAACUUUAGGAAAACCUUUGGGGAAUACAAGAUCUUGCAUAAACUCAUUUUACAAGGACUUUUCAAAGCACCUCAUCUCAUGCCAAAACUUUUAGCACACAUUAGUCUCUACUUAUUCCUUUUUACCUGGACGUUGAACUCCCUCAAGGCUAUCAUGAUGACUCAUUUCACCAUUAGUAUCACCACAAACCCUUAUUCAACUCCAAUUGGUUAAGCGAUAGACUUGAACAUGGAUCACUUUACGUGUACAAUCAUCCUUCUGCCAAGCGAACCACUUAACACAAGACAACCUCUACUCUUAUGUACACAUAAUAGCUAGCUCAUGAUAGAAAUAAAACUAAUGGUUUAUUUACAUACAAGUAUAAGAAGAAAACGUACAUUUACUCAUAAAACAAACUUUUAACCGUCAAAUUUUUCAUAUUAAACAUAAAUCACAUUAGAACAUGCAUUCUACUUUGCAUAACAUUAACAUCAACAUGACACGAGUUUGGAAAGAAAACUUUGUAAAACAUAGUCCCUUUCUUUAGAAAAGUUAAUCGCGAAGCCUAGCUUUCUUUAACUUAGUCCUUCUUUCCCCUUGUCGCUUGUUCUUUCUAUUUCUUCUCUCUACUAAAUGCCAAACUUCAUGAACUUUUCUUCUCGCCUAAUACACUUUCGACAGAGUUGCAAUACUUAGAGUUUCCUUCAUACUUCCUUCGAAACCUUAAAUUUUAUUUAUAUUAGUCCUAAACUGGAUUAGUAAUCACUUAGCUCAUCUUAGCUUGGUAGCUUCUUCUCAGUGCUUUACAAGUGUAAAUUUAACAUAUUCUUUAACCAUGCUUAACGCUAACCUAACACGUAAGAUGUUGACUAAUUUGGAUUAAAAGCUUUACUUAAAUUUCCAACUUUCUUUCCUUGCCAACAGACCCUUUUUCAGCUAACUUAAAACACACACUCUCCUUGCGUCUGGCUAACCGAAACGUGUACUCUUCCUUGCAUCAUUGGUCAAGUCGAAAAAUACAACGCAUUGCUCUUGUACUUAACCAUUUUCACUCAUUUUACCAUAUAAUACGAGUACUUAACCUAAAUUUCUUCUUUUUAACCCUUCGGCUAGCACACAGGCUUCACAACUUAGGUUGGCAACAUUGGCUAGGCGAGUUGCAUACAUGCGGUAAAGGAAAAACACGCGAGCAAGGGCCAUACAUAAAAGUGUGCGACAAGGCUUAGAUGAGCAUGCAAGUAGACAUGCGGGAAAAAGAAGUUUUAGGCAUUUUGAACAAGAGGUAGAAGUGAAAUCCAGGUAUCAUGGCAUAAAAAUACCUAGGUUUUACAAGUGGAAGGCUUGGGGAGGAAACCAUGUAAGUAGGAGGUGUCAAAACAUUUUCAUGCAAGGUCCAUUUUAAAUAGGUAACUUUGGAUGAAUAGAGUUACCAUUCUACCUAUGCAAAUUUUCUCAAAUCAGGUCCAAAGAACUGUGAGUGAGUCUAAUUGUUGAGACAGGGCUGCCAGACUAAAAAGAGUUGAGGAAGAAGUUCAACUUCUAAGCUAAAGCAACAAAGGUCAUUAUGUGGGUGAGAUUGAGGAAUGUUGAGUUCUUGAGGCCAAUAAAACACAUGACAUGGAAUCUUAAGGUAGAAUUUGAAGGUAAGAUACUUAAGACAUUUCUAAACAACUUUAUGGAAGGAAGUUGUCUCAUUUGAGUUACAAAGUUUAAGUUAUUGACCUUUAAAGCUGUAUUUAAGUUCUAAACAAGAAAGAAGUUUGUGAGCAGAGUUGAAGGUUGACUAAGUGACAGGGAAGGCGAGGCAAGUUGGUCAUGCAAGAUAGGCAAAAUAGGUUAGUUUAGGAUUUGGAGCAUAUGUGAGUAAUAAGGCCAGCUCACGGUUAGAUGACGUGAGGUGUGCGCCAAGGCCAUUUGGCAAGGCCUACAUGCGAGAAGGAUGCACACAACGUGCAAGGUGUCACACUCCAUCCCUCAAGCACCUCAACACGUUGCGUUACGUGGUAUGACUUGAGCAUUCUUGACGUUUUUAAAUGCUAAAAACCUUAGGUUAAGUCUUUAAGCCUUGCUUAAUCACCUAAUGACUUAACUUACAACUUGUAUCCUUAACUUAAGGCGAUAAAACAUAACUUGAUAUACUUUUUGAUAGAGAACCAUAACACAGCGGAAGGUAACAUAAACUUGAACUUUUAUUAGCUUAAACCAUGCAUUUUACAACAAACUUUACAAAUAAAGUCUUUUCAAAAUAACUUUAAACAUAAGCUAAACGCCUCGCCAAGCUUCCUUGUCUAGCAAAAUUAUAUCCGUUUUCCAACUUAGCUUUAACACAUGCUCUCCCCAACCUUAAUGCCUCAAACCUAGUGAAUGGAAACUUUGAAACAUAAGUCAAAAUACUUAGUAAGGUUUUAAGAGAAACCCUUUAGAAAUACAUUUCAUAAACAUCAUCAUUUCAUAUCAUCGCAUAAACAUACAAUAGUCUUGCAUUUCUUUCAUCGAGAACGUGAACCAUUUCGCACUUAAAGACUCAUCUCCUUGUGUUUAGACUACUCUGAUGGUCUUCUCAUUAACAACAUCUGAGAAUAUAAUUUCUUGGUUCAUUCCUCGUUGCUCAGACUGUCAAACACAAUACACAUCUUGUAUACAUUACCAGACUUUAUUUCACUAUGCAUGUCUUUUCUACAUGACCGCCUUUAACCUUAUAUGCAUAUAACAGUUAGCUCUUUUUAUAGAAAUUAAGACUAAUGCUUUAAAACAUAUUUUAUCAUUCAUUUUAGCACAAAACAUGGUUUUAAAAACAUAAUCAUUCAUUUCAAAUACUUUGAAAUCAUUAUUUACAAAUCUCAAAACACAGAGAAAAUGUUAAAAUAUACAAACACUUGAAAAAUAUCACUCACAAAAACUUGGUUUAUCCCUUCUCGCAGAACGCUUAGCUCACUUCUUCUUCUUCUUCUCGCCUAGAAGCAAUCCACAUAGUAACACUUCACUUCACAAAUUCUCAGAUUAAACUCGUAAAACAUUAUGGCUUCUUCCUCUAUUAUUUAUGCUAAUCUUAAAGCUAGAUUAGUCAUCUCAAAGCUUCUAAAAUAUUGUCAGAUCCCACGUAAGGCAUUACGAGCAUAAGCUUAAUACUUCACUUAAUUUUACUUUACUUUCAGCUUAACACAUAACUCAUGUCAAGUCAGAUUAGACAUCUCUUCGCCUGGUUUCUUGUUGCAUGGUACUUUGAUCAAAAUGCCUAAUAGACUUUAAACUCCUGAUGCCUUCUUGACUCGGGUCAUCCUAACACAAACUUCAACACGCAAGCUUCAACGCAAAACGCUCAUUCAACACUUAGUGUUUUGACCCUUCUAUUCCAAACACAAGUCUCAUAUAAGGCGUGCGACCAUGGUGUGCCCGACAAGCCAAGUGCAAUGUUAUCACGUGGCCAAGCUACUGAGAGCCUUGCAUGCGCGCGAGCCACCCAGUUGCCCAUGUCUUGCGCACUAGCCAUUCCAAAGGCCUUUUUUCAGUUGUUAUAUAUAUAUAUAUAGUCAUUUUUAGUAAAGUUUGGAUAUUUUCUAAAGUAAAGAGGUUAAUUAAGGCUUAAUUAUGAUUUUUCAAGGACAAAAAGAGUUAAAAGAGAAUUUCCAAGUCAAGCGGUUAAACUCUGAGUGAAUAAAAUUAAUUUCUAUGUUUAUUUAUGAACAUGAAUUUAAAGCUAAUAGUUUCCUUACAUGUUUGAAAUGCUUAUAAUAAUAGUUUAGUUAGUUUAUAUUUUAAUAUUGUUUAAUUUUAACUACUUUAUAAUCUAUUUUAUAGUCUAUUAUAGUUUUUUACCUAAAAAAACUACGGAUUUUAUUUUCUAUUAAUUUUUUUCAUUGUAAAUUUUUAAAAUAUAUUUUCCACAAGAGAUAGACACAAAUAGAAAUAAAAAUCAAAUGUAAUGAAUUUAGUCUUUUAGUUGUUUUUGAAUAGCGGGUAAAUAGUUUGUUUGUUUUUUUUUUUUCCAUUUUUGAAAAGACGGCUUUCCAUAAUCAUUAUUAUUAUUACCGUUUAAUCAAUUUCAUGGACUUAGUUUAUUAUUUAUUAAAAGUAUGUAAAUGAAAAUUCAAUCGUGUAUAAUACAAUAACUAGGUUAAACGAGUCUAUUUUUAUAAAUAUGAAAAUUAAAGAAAAAAAAAGAAGUAUGUUUUGAAUACUAAGGACGAAAUGGGUAUAUCUGUAAGAAGAAAGAAACGUUUUGAAAAUUUAGAAACAAAACAGGCAUGUUGAUUAAGACUUGACCAAUAUAAAGGUAAUUUUGUAUGAAUUUUUCCGUCCGUCAAGUUUCUUUAAGAUGAUGGUGUUUUUCAAGCAAAAUAUGAUGGUGUUUGGGAAGCUGUUGACAAGUCGUGUUGUAAGUACUUGAUUGAUUUUUUAUUAUGCAAACAUCCGUACGUUCUGACAGUAGUCCUUGUGAUGCCCGUGAAGAAAGAGAAGUUAGUAUAGAUAUGAAUUUAUUUCAAAAUAACAUUUUCAUUCAUAUGAAAUAAAUACAAAAUGAUGUGACGAAUCCUUGUAUGACAAUUACUUCUAGGAAUUUUAAUACAGUCAGGAACUUUAGGACAUGAUUCAAUUAUAUCCUUAGCAUUAACAAAAGUUUUCUUCAUAACUUUUUAAUUUCUGCAACUGUCUCAAAACAACCAUUUGUAUCAGCUUCUCCACUUCUCCAUUUAAAAUGGAUAUAAAAUUAUUGAAUAUGACGGAGGGAGUAACAUGUCCACAAGUUUUUAUUUGGAUUUAUUCUCGAACUUUUAGGGGUAAUUGGAACAUUCGUUUUAAGAACAUAACCUAUUUUAGUAAAAUUAUUUCAAAAGAUGUUAUUAAAAGUAGUUACAAAUUUAAUCAAAUUCCAUGGUCUAUGAUAGACAUUAAUAAAUAUUUAUCAGUGUUGAUAUGAAAAAAUUAUCAUUUAUUGACAAUGAUAUACACUAAUAAAUAUUUAUCAGUGUUGAUAUGAAAAGUUAUCAGUGAUAAAUGAUAAAUGANNNNNNNNNNNNNNNNNNNNNNNNNNNNNNNNNNNNNNNNNNNNNNNNNNNNNNNNNNNNNNNNNNNNNNNNNNNNNNNNNNNNNNNNNNNNNNNNNNNNNNNNNNNNNNNNNNNNNNNNNNNNNNNNNNNNNNNNNNNNNNNNNNNNNNNNNNNNNNNNNNNNNNNNNNNNNNNNNNNNNNNNNNNNNNNNNNNNNNNNNNNNNNNNNNNNNNNNNNNNNNNNNNNNNNNNNNNNNNNNNNNNNNNNNNNNNNNNNNNNNNNNNNNNNNNNNNNNNNNNNNNNNNNNNNNNNNNNNNNNNNNNNNNNNNNNNNNNNNNNNNNNNNNNNNNNNNNNNNNNNNNNNNNNNNNNNNNNNNNNNNNNNNNNNNNNNNNNNNNNNNNNNNNNNNNNNNNNNNNNNNNNNNNNNNNNNNNNNNNNNNNNNNNNNNNNNNNNNNNNNNNNNNNNNNNNNNNNNNNNNNNNNNNNNNNNNNNNNNNNNNNNNNNNNNNNNNNNNNNNACCCGUGUGCUGGGCCGGUUCAAGCCAAUAAAUUUGGUUUUUGGGCCGGUUCAAGCGGUUUCGGUUGGUUUUUUUAGCCGGUUCGAAGUUUUUGGGAGUGGUUCUGUACUACACCGAAUUAAUUAUGUAAUAAUUUAGCACUUAGCUUAAUUUAGGAGCCAAAAAUCAGUCCAUUUUAGGGUGUUUUUUUUAUUUAUGCAUGUGAUGUAUGAUUAAAUUACUUUAAAUUUGUAUGUGCAUUUUGAAUGUCAUAUAGAUUUAAAAUCCCACCAUAGGUUAACAUGUUCAUGCAUUAAAAUGUAUGAUAUAAAGGUUAUAUUGUAUUGUAUGCAUGUUAAUUGAUUAAUAUGGAAAUUAAUUAAUAUGAUUAAUUAAUUAUUUAAUUAAUUAAGUUAUUCUUGAUUAAAUAUGAUUUAAUCAAAUUAAUUAAUUAUUGUUUGAUUUAAUUUAAUUAAAUAUGAUUUAAUUAAAGUUAAAUAAAUUAAAAUCCAUAUUAAUUGAUUGUUUUUAUAUUAUAUAUUGAUAAAAUGAUUGAUUAAGUUUAAAAGUUUUUAUAAGUGUUAUAAAAUAAAUUAGACUUUUAAAAUCAAUAACAAAGAUUAAAUGCAUGCUCACUUAGGUUAAACAUAUCUUCCAUUUUUCAUAGAAAUAGGUCGAUAUCUUGUAAAACUGGUUACAAAAGGCUCACCUGGUUCAAUCUUGUCAACAAGUCAGAUAAGAUGACUAAGGUUGGAGGUUCUUAAGUUGACGGUUUACGGAACACCUCCUACCUGGAGAUCGUAAUCAGUUCUUGAGCCUAGUUAACCUAGUUUUAUGAGCAUUCGUGAGAGGUGUGAGGUAAUAAAAAUGGUUUUUCACCUAGACAUCAUAGGUUAAAAUCCUGUAUAAUGGUUAUACUUGGAUGUUUUAUCUAGACUUAAGAUUUGUUUAAGUUAGCCUAAAUAUAAAUCUUGAAGUUUGGAUUACCCUAUUUUUUUCUUUUAGAACACUUCAACUAGAGAAAAAUAAUGUAUUUUAGCUCUAGUGUCCCUAAGAGUUCACACCGUGAGGUCCAUGCAGGGCUUUGUGCCGUGCAUAGGAGCGGCCUCCCUUCGGAGAGUGUUUGCAUGGAUCAAAAUCAAGGUGAAUAGGGGAAGUAGUUCAUAGUAAGUGGGUGAGGGAUUUGUGGCAGCACAUCCCACGGUCUCUUCCAUUAGGUCGCACCGUGAGAUUUCUAUAAUAUGCCUGCUUGUCUGCCCUGGAGCGACGUUCCCUUCGGAGGGUUGUAUUAUAGGAUUCGGAACACCGCGAACUCCAAAACUGGAUAGGAUUUCUUAGAUUAGUUUUCAUAAAUGAUUCUAAUCUAUGAAAUCUGAAAAUGGUGGGUAACACUUACAAGAAUUACUAAGUUGUUAGUAUAUUCUUGACUAAAGUAGCGAUAACUAAGUGCUAUAAAGAAUAAAGAGUUAUUCUUGAGAUAGCAUCUAGUCAAGAUUGUCUUGGUUCAAAGGAGGAAUAAUCAACUACCCUUCGGAGAAGGUUGUUCUAAACCUUUGAAAUAUUGUUGCAAAAUACAAAUAAUGAAAGGGUACAUUAUUAGUAAUUGCUAAAUUAGAUUGGAUAUUUUUUAUGAUUAUAGUUUUUUCCUAAAAGGAAUAUGUUUGUUUUUCAGCAUGAAUAGCUCAAUAGUUCGACUUUUAGCUUCCGAAAAACUUAAUGGCGAUAAUUAUGCGGCUUGGAAAUCAAAUCUUAACACAAUACUAGUGGUUGGUGAUUUAAGAUUUGUCUUAACUGAGGAAUGUCCUCAAAACCCUGCCUCUAAUGAUAACCGAACUAGUCGGGAUGCAUAUGAUCGAUGGAUAAAAGCUAAUGAAAAAGCCGUGUCUACAUUCUUGCCAGCAUGUCUGAUGUAUUGGCAAAGAAACAUGAAUCCUUAGCCACGGCUAAAGAGAUUAUGAAUUCAUUAAGGGGAAUGUUUGGGCAACCAGAAUUGUCCUUAAGACACGAGGCAGUCAAAUACAUUUACACUAAGCGUAUGAAGGAAGGGACCUCUGUUAGAGAACAUGUUCUUGACAUGAUGAUGCACUUCAACAUCGCUGAAGUGAAUGGUGGUCCCAUCGAAGAGGUUAAUCAAGUUAGUUUUAUCUUAGAGUCUCUUCCGAAGAGCUUCAUUCCAUUCCAAACGAAUGCGUCUUUGAACAAGAUAGAAUUUAACUUGACAACCCUUCUGAAUGAACUCCAGCGAUUCCAAAACCUUACUAUGGGUAAAGGAAAACAAGUGGAAGCAAAUGUUGCUACCACAAAAAGAAAAUUUAUAAGAGGAUCGUCCUCUAAAACCAAAGCUGGACCCUCAAAACCUAAUGCUCAAAUAAAAAAGAAGGGAAAGGGAAAGACUCCCAAACAGAACAAGGGUAAGAAAAAGGUGCAGAAAAGGUAAGUGUUACCAUUGUGGCCAAAACGGGCACUGGUUAAGAAAUUGCCCAAAAUACCUUGCAGAAAAAAAGGCAGAGAAGGAAACACAAGGUAAAUAUGAUUUACUAGUUGUAGAAACAUGUUUAGUGGAAUAUGAAAAUUGUACCUGGAUACUAGAUUCAGGAGCCACUAAACCAUAUUUGCUUCUCAUUUCAGGAAAAUAGUUCUUGAAAAAGCUUUCAGAAGGCGAGAUCACUCUCAAGGUUGGAACAGGAGAGAUGGUCUCAACUUCAGCAAUGGGAGAUUUAAAGUUGUUUUUUAGAGAUAGAUAUGUCAUACUUAAGAAUGUCUUAUAUGUACCUCAAAUGAAAAGAAAUUUAAUAUCUAUCUCUUGUAUUUUGGAACAAAUGUAUAGAAUAUCUUUUGAAAUUAAUGAAGCGUUCGUUUUCUAUAAAGGUAUUCUAGUUUGUUCUGCUAUACUUGAAGACAACUUAUAUAAGUUAAGACCAACCAGAGCAAAUUUUGUCUUAAAUACUGAAAUAUUCAGAACAGCUGAAACUCAGAAUAAAAGACAAAAAGUUUCUUCUAAUGCCUAUUUAUGGCACUUAAGACUUGGUCACAUAAAUCUCAAUAGGAUUGGGAGAUUAGUUAAAAGUGGGCUUCUAAAUCAGUUAGAAAAUAAUACUUUACCUCUUGUGAAUCUUGUCUUGAAGGAAAAAUGACCAAGAGAUCUUUUACUGGAAAAGGUCUAAGAGCCAAAACCCUUAGAGCUCGUACAUUCGGACCUUUGUGGACCAAUGAAUGUCAAAGCUCGAGGUGGAUAUGAAUAUUUCAUUAGCUUCAUUGAUGAUUAUUCAAGGUAUGGUCAUAUUUACCUAAUACAUCAUAAGUCUAAUAGUCUUGAAAAGUUCAAAGAAUAUAAGGCUGAAGUAGAAAACGAAUUAGGUAAAACAAUAAAAAUACUUCGAUCAGAUCGAGGUGGAGAGUAUAUGGACUUACGAUUCCGAGACUAUUUAAUAGAAAAUGGAAUCCAGUCACAACUCUCUGCACCUAGUACACCUCAACAGAACGGUGUAUCAGAAAGAAGAAACUGGACCUUGUUAGACAUGGUUCGCUCUAUGAUGAGUUUUUCUCAGAUGUCAGAUUCUUUUUGGGAUAUGCUUUAGAAACAGCUGCUUAUAUUUUGAAUAAUGUUCCCUCUAAAAGUGUUUCAGAAACACCUUAUGAGCUAUGGAAAGGGCGUAAAGGCAGUUUACGUCAUUUUAGAAUUUGGGGUUGUCCAGCACACGUGUUGGUACAAAAUCCUAAGAAAUUGAAACAUCGUUCAAAAUUAUGCUUUUUCAUAGGUUAUCCAAAAGAAUCAAGAGGUGGUUUGUUUUAUGAUCCUCAAGAAAAUAAAAUAUUUGUGUCAACAAAUGCCACAUUCUUAGAGGAAGACCACAUCAGGGAUCAUCAACCUCGUAGUAAACUAGUAUUAAAAGAAAUUUCCAAAAGUGCUAUAGAUAAACCUAGUUCAUCCACUAAGGUAGUUGAUAAGACUAGGAAAUCUGGUCAAUCACAUCCUUCUCAACAGUUGAGAGAGCCUCGACGUAGUGGGAGGGUUGUUCAUCAGCCUGAUCGCUAUUUGGGUUUAAUUGAAACUCAAGUCGUCAUACCUGACGAUGGCAUAGAGGAUCCAUUAACCUAUAAACAGGCAAUGAAAGAUGUAGAUCGUGACCAAUGGAUCAAAGCCAUGGACCUCGAAAUGGAGUCUAUGUACUUUAAUUCUGUCUGGACUCUAGUAGAUCAACCAAAUGACGUAAAACCUAUUGGUUGUAAAUGGAUCUACAAGAGAAAACGAGACCAUGCCGGUAAAGUACAGACUUUCAAGGCUCGACUUGUGGCAAAGGGUUAUACCAGAGAGAGGGAGUAGACUAUGAGGAAACUUUCUCUCCUGUUGCCAUGUUAAAGUCAAUUAGAAUACUCUUAUCCAUCGCCACUUUUUAUGAUUAUGAAAUUUGGCAGAUGGAUGUCAAGACAGCUUUUUUGAACGGUAAUCUUGAAAGAGUAUCUAUAUGUCUCAACCAGAGGGGUUUAUAAAACAAGAUCAAGAACAAAAGGUUUGUAAGCUUAAAAAAUCCAUUUAUGGAUUAAAACAAGCUUCUAGAUCCUGGAAUAUAAGAUUUGAUAUUGCGAUCAAAAUCUUAUGGCUUUGAACAAAAUGUUGACGAGCCUUGUGUUUACAAAAGGUCGUCAAUUCCAUUAUAGCAUUUUUUAGUCUUAUAUGUAGAUGAUAUUCUACUUAUUGGAAAUGACGUAGGAUAUCUUACUGAUAUCAAGAAAUGGCUAGCUAUGCAAUUUCAAAUGAAAGAUCUGGGAGAUGCACAAUACGUUCUCGGAAUCCAAAUUGUUCGAAACCGUAAGAACAAAACACUAGCCAUGUCUCAAGCAUCUUACAUAGACAAAAUGUUGUCUAGAUAUAAAAUGCAGAAUUCCAAAAAGGGUCUGCUGCCGUACAGAUAUGGAAUUCAUUUGUCAAAGGAACAAUGUCCUAAGACACCUCAAGAAGUUGAGGAUAUGAGAAAUAUUCCCUAUGCUUCCGCUGUUGGAAGUUUAAUGUAUGCAAUGUUAUGUACUAGACCUGACAUUUGCUACUCAGUAGGGAUGGUCAGUAGGUAUCAAUCCAAUCAUGGACGUGAUCACUGGACAGCCGUUAAAAACAUUCUACAUGCUCAUGUAUCGUACAAAGGAUCUGAUCCUUACUGGAUACACUGAUUCAGAUUUCCAAACUAAUAAAGAUGUUAGAAAGUCUACAUCAGAUCAGUAUUUACUCUAAAUGGAGGAGCAGUAGUUUGGAGAAGCAUAAAGCAAACUUGUAUAGCUGAUUCCACAAUGGAAGCUGAUCAUUUUACAAAAGCCCUCACGGCUAAAGUGUUUGAGGGUCACCUACACAGUUUAGGUGUACGAUGUUUGUAAACUAGGACAAGUGGGAGACUUAUUGGCCAUGUGCCCUAGUUUCAUAUAUAUUCUCUCACACCACAUCUCUCAUACCACUAGGAAUUUUAGUCCAAGUGGGAGUUUGUUGGAAUUUUUUGUCCUAAAACUCGUAGUUUGUAAAUCAUAUUCUAUUCAAUAAAGUUGUUAUUGAGAAAUUAAAUAUUAUAAUCUUAAAUCCAAUAAAUCAAAGUUCCAAGGCUAUUUUUUGAAUAAACUUGAACUUUAUGUGUAAACAUAAACGUGGAUCAAGUUCGAGUAUAUAGCCUAAAUAGUCUAUAGUAUAUGAAAUAAAGGUUGGGCGCCUUAUUUGAGAGACUAUGGAUGCGGCCCACUUUGUAGUACAAACGAUGUGAUCCUAAUCGUUCAUGUAGAGACAUGAAAGUGGGGGCAUCCUAUGUAAAAUGUUUACAUAAGACUGAACCAUGAAUUAGUCAUUUUUACGUUAUAACACCGUUUACUGUUUAAAACUGACUAUCUCAAUUAUUGAUGACCUAGGUAACUUAGUCUUAAUCCUGAGUUAACUAUGAACUCCUGUUCAUACGAGAUUAUCCUUAGAUCUGCAUAGGUGAGGGCAGCUCAUCAGCGUUGGCCCAAUAAGCCUCCCAUUUCAGGGGUAAGAUCGGGUGGAUAGCUGGGAACAUAGGGUACAAGAUGGAAUUCACUCCUACCCGCUUUAGGGUUAGUAGAUAGGUUGCUCUCUUAAGCACUGAAUCCAAGUCUUGAACAAGGGGCCCCACCCUCUCAUUGGCCCGAGAGGGAUUAAGUUUAUAGGUUGAACCUUAAACCAAUUGUUCAAUAGUGGAUUAGUGGGACUUAAGGAGCAAGAUGUAAUCUUGGGGGUAAAACGGUAUUUUGACCCAGCCAAGGUUACGAGCAACCUGUGAAGGAUUAACUUACUGAUUAUGGUUUUAUCAAAUGGACACAAAUAUAUCUAUAGUGAGGGGAGUGCAACUACGGGACUUUAGUGGAAUGACCCGUUAGUUAACGAAUGUUGAUUAACUCGGUUUAAAAGAGUUUAGCUAGUUAAUCUUGAAUCGUUGGAGCCCAUGAUCUAUAGGUCCAUUAGGUUCCUCUGCUAGCUCAUAUGGAUUAAACUUAGAACAGUGUGAUGAAAUAAGUCGAAUUGUUCGAAUAGGGAGAAGAAAGGAAACCGACAUAUACAGUGAUAUAAUCGUCGGUCUUCUAAUUAGAAAUAGAGCUUUAUGUUUUACAUACUAUAAGUAUGAAUGCGGAUUCAUACUAAGAAGCUCGGAAUUGGUCAAAAAUAGUAAAAAGUCAAAAUGUUGACUUUUGACUUUGAAAAGUCAAACUUUUGACCGGCCUUAUAUUCAAAUGUGAUUUGAAUUUUGGAAAAAUGAAUGCGGAUUCAUGCUCGGGAGGUUGGAAUUAGUCAAGACGGACAAAAUGGUAAAAGUCAAAAUAUUGACUUUUGACUUAGAAAAGUCAAAGUUUGACUUUGGACUAGAAAAAUCUAAUGACAUUUUACCCUUGGACUAAGUUAGUGGGAAAAUCCAACAUUUUGUUGGAUAAUCCACUAACUCUUAGUGGGAUAUGUGGCUAUAUGAGAUAUAGACACCUAGCCCACUAAGUUCCACUAAUUGUUAGUGGAAUAUUAGGUGUUGAGAUUUGGCAAUUGAAUUGCAUGCAUUUUUGCAUGUAAUUAGGCUAUAAAUAGAGAUGUUUUCAAAUGUUGAAGGACUUUUGCCUCUUUUAUCAUUUUCAUAAUCUCAACAAAAGAAGAAAAAAACUUCCAAUCUCAUUUUAUCUCCAUUAUUUUCUACACCAAAAUUGGGUCCCACAACCCGGUUCUUUGUCUAGAGGAUAGCAGUUGAGUACUAGUGGUGGUCUCGGGUAGAAUUGGUAAGAAGACAUCAAACCUUUUGUAAGCUUCAAAGGUAAUACUUCUUAAAACCCUAAUUUGAUUAGUUUAUGGUUACAUGUUAAUUGUGGCAAUUAGGGUAGAAAUUCGAUUCUUUUUCCGCUGUGCAUGACUUAGUUCUAUCAGGAGAAAUCUAAACGUAUACAAAUAUUUCCAUUGAUCCAAUUGUGCAUAACGUGUUUUCCAAGGCAAUCAAUGUUUUUCCUUCAAUAUGCACAUUUAACAUCAUAUAAAGCAUUGCAAACAUAUGAUUGGAUUGUUCCUAAAUUAAAGACACGUUUAAAAGUUCAGAAACCAUGUAUAAGAACGCACAUACAAGAGUUUACACACUGUGUGAAAUUCGAUUGCAACUAGUGUGGGAGAUGUAGAGAAAAAGAUAUGAGAUUUUUCUUGAUCCCUUCAAUUAUGUUUUAUUUUAUAUAAAUAACAUUUGAAACUAUAUGCAAUGGCAUGCUCUAGCUAAACCAUGCAUUAAUAUUUCAUUUCAAAAUAUCUUUUCUAGUUCCAAGGAAAGCACAUAUUAUAAGUUCCAGUGUCUUUUGGGUGCAUCAAACAAGGGCCAUCUCGAUAAAUUUCCCACGAGCAAUUAGUGCAACGAUUCAUGUCCCUGUGAAAGUUAUAGAUGGUGAAGUUGUGCAUCUCGCCUUGCACAAAUUCAAAGCCGCAAGUAAAUUCUGUUGUGCCCCAAAUAUUAGGUUUAAAGUGAAAGGAGUAACUACGUCCAGACUCAAGGGAAUGGACUCCCAAGUCAUCGUCCUUUGACCUACAGUGAACGCCUAGCACUGGGCCAGCCAAUUUAUUAAUAGUGGUCACUGUUGUUUCAGGUGGACCAAUUGAGAUUAAUUCUUCAUCAGCAUAUAGCGUGAUGAAAAGUAUUUGUAAAACCAAGAAUGCAAGUGCCAACGAGGAAUUCAUUAUGCUUUCGAAUCGAGAGAGAAAGAUAAGUAAUGUCCAAAGGACUAUGCUUUUCUUUUGUUGUUGGACACAAUGGAAUGUUUCGAAACAUCACACAGACAUAUAUAGGAGAGUAAAGGAAUACAAAUCUUUUUUCAAAUGGUUAAAUGGUAAUUUUGUGAUCGUUAUGCAACUUUUCAUUUUAGAAGCAGGAACCGCGAUAGUUUGAAUCAAAUGGUGAAAGAGCGCAUUAAACAACUACAUAUUGGUAGUGACAUUCCACAAUUAAUAAAAGAAAAAGAAAAUAAGUUGUAAAACAAUUCACGAAAUGAUUGUUAUGUUUAACCACAUGAGGUUAAUUUUUACAUCCCAACUCAACACUAUUCCUUUUCCGUUUGUUUUGUCUUCUCUUUUUCUUCAAGUUACGUACUAAUAAGGAUGGUUGGAAGACAAUAAAUUAGGGAAAGAGUGUGGGUUUAGGUUACAUUUCAGCAUUUAGUUAAAUUAUAGGUUGAUACGCUUUUUAAUUUGUAUUGUGUAUAUACAAAAUAACAUAUCUUGUUGUUGGUAUUUUAUUAAUGCCACAUCAAAUUUCUAAUUAGGAGAUUCUUCAACCUGUAUGUUUAGUUAGUCCGUGCUUGGAUUGGAAUGUUGGGUUGAUUAAUUUAAAUCUUAAAAUAAUAAUUGUAUCGAUUUAAAUCCUAAACUUCGCCGGGUGUAUCAAUUUAAACCUCAACUAAACUAAUAAUAGUAUCGAUUUGAACAUUGCACUUCAAUUAGUCUAUCAUUCACCUCCUCUUCAACUUCUUCCCCCCCUCUUCCUCCCCUUACCAUCAUGCAAACGUUUAACAUGAAACAUCUUUACCAACACAUUUUUCAAUGUGCAUCACUCAAGCAAAAUGAAAUACAUCGUCCGACAUAAAAGAUAGGUGGUAACUUAAUUAUUUCCAUUAGAUGUUGUUCACCAUCACAUUCGAUUAAUAUAUAUGUAUAUACAUAAACGAUCUGUAACUGUGUGCUUGCUUGCCAAUAUUUUCCUUCGCUGCCUUGUGGGGCAUAAAACAAAAUAUUUUGAGGUUACACCAAAACGGUCUAGUGAGUGGAGGUUUUCAUCAACACAUUUAAUAGAACACACUCUCGCCAUAACGCAUUACAAAAGUUCUUUCCACAACACCACGCAAUAUAAAUAAGUACGCAUUUCAAUAGAAAUAUGAGUUUAAAUUGGAAAAUCAUUCCGCUGCGUUUGGCGAUUUACACAUUCAAAUCUCAUUGGCAAAUAUUCAUAGCAACCCAUUUCCUUGCAAAUUCAUUUCAUCAUAAAAUCACAUCGCAUGGGAGAGCAUUUCGCAUAACAAUUUCCAUCUUUCGUACCAUGCUAAGCUCAAGAGUCAACACGCUCUUAUCGCUGAGUUGCAGCUGUACGGAGAAAUCUAAACGUAUACAAAUAUUUCCAUUGAUCCAAUUGUGCAUAACGUGUUUUCCAAGGCAAUCAAUGUUUUUCCUUCAAUAUGCACAUUUAACAUCAUAUAAAGCAUUGCAAACAUAUGAUUGGAUUGUUCCUAAAUUAAAGACACGUUUAAAAGUUCAGAAACCAUGUAUAAGAACGCACAUACAAGAGUUUACACACUGUGUGAAAUUCGAUUGCAACUAGUGUGGGAGAUGUAGAGAAAAAGAUAUGAGAUUUUUCUUGAUCCCUUCAAUUAUGUUUUAUUUUAUAUAAAUAACAUUUGAAACUAUAUGCAAUGGCAUGCUCUAGCUAAACCAUGCAUUAAUAUUUCAUUUCAAAAUAUCUUUUCUAGUUCCAAGGAAAGCACAUAUUAUAAGUUCCAGUGUCUUUUGGGUGCAUCAAACAAGGGCCAUCUCGAUAAAUUUCCCACGAGCAAUUAGUGCAACGAUUCAUGUCCCUGUGAAAGUUAUAGAUGGUGAAGUUGUGCAUCUCGCCUUGCACAAAUUCAAAGCCGCAAGUAAAUUCUGUUGUGCCCCAAAUAUUAGGUUUAAAGUGAAAGGAGUAACUACGUCCAGACUCAAGGGAAUGGACUCCCAAGUCAUCGUCCUUUGACCUACAGUGAACGCCUAGCACUGGGCCAGCCAAUUUAUUAAUAGUGGUCACUGUUGUUUCAGGUGGACCAAUUGAGAUUAAUUCUUCAUCAGCAUAUAGCGUGAUGAAAAGUAUUUGUAAAACCAAGAAUGCAAGUGCCAACGAGGAAUUCAUUAUGCUUUCGAAUCGAGAGAGAAAGAUAAGUAAUGUCCAAAGGACUAUGCUUUUCUUUUGUUGUUGGACACAAUGGAAUGUUUCGAAACAUCACACAGACAUAUAUAGGAGAGUAAAGGAAUACAAAUCUUUUUUCAAAUGGUUAAAUGGUAAUUUUGUGAUCGUUAUGCAACUUUUCAUUUUAGAAGCAGGAACCGCGAUAGUUUGAAUCAAAUGGUGAAAGAGCGCAUUAAACAACUACAUAUUGGUAGUGACAUUCCACAAUUAAUAAAAGAAAAAGAAAAUAAGUUGUAAAACAAUUCACGAAAUGAUUGUUAUGUUUAACCACAUGAGGUUAAUUUUUACAUCCCAACUCAACACUAUUCCUUUUCCGUUUGUUUUGUCUUCUCUUUUUCUUCAAGUUACGUACUAAUAAGGAUGGUUGGAAGACAAUAAAUUAGGGAAAGAGUGUGGUUUAGGUUACAUUUCAGCAUUUAGUUAAAUUAUAGGUUGAUACGCUUUUAAUUUGUAUUGUGUAUAUACAAAAUAACAUAUCUUGUUGUUGGUAUUUUAUUAAUGCCACAUCAAAUUUCUAAUUAGGAGAUUCUUCAACCUGUAUGUUUAGUUAGUCCGUGCUUGGAUUGGAAUGUUGGGUUGAUUAAUUUAAAUCUUAAAAUAAUAAUUGUAUCGAUUUAAAUCCUAAACUUCGCCGGGUGUAUCAAUUUAAACCUCAACUAAACUAAUAAUAGUAUCGAUUUGAACAUUGCACUUCAAUUAGUCUAUCAUUCACCUCCUCUUCAACUUCUUCCCCCCCUCUUCCUCCCCUUACCAUCAUGCAAACGUUUAACAUGAAACAUCUUUACCAACACAUUUUUCAAUGUGCAUCACUCAAGCAAAAUGAAAUACAUCGUCCGACAUAAAAGAUAGGUGGUAACUUAAUUAUUUCCAUUAGAUGUUGUUCACCAUCACAUUCGAUUAAUAUAUAUGUAUAUACAUAAACGAUCUGUAACUGUGUGCUUGCUUGCCAAUAUUUUCCUUCGCUGCCUUGUGGGGCAUAAAACAAAAUAUUUUGAGGUUACACCAAAACGGUCUAGUGAGUGGAGAUUUUCAUCAACACAUUUAAUAGAACACACUCUCGCCAUAACGCAUUACAAAAGUUUUUUCCACAACACCACGCAAUAUAAAUAAGUACGCAUUUCAAUAGAAAUAAUUCCCAAAAAAGAAUGAAUAGUUAGUUAUAAAGAAAGCUAAAGUGUAGACAAAAGAAGUGUUGUGUUUUUAACAUUUUUAAUACAUAACACAUAUAUAUACAUAUAUUGAUCUAACUUUUGAAUUAGAAGAGUAUAUAUAUAACAAGAUCAAAAUAAAUUAGGAUUUGAAGUAUCACACCAUAUAUGUACAAAAUAAUCAAACAACAACAAUAUUGUAAUUAGAGUUAUAUAUUAUAUUAUGAUCACUAUCAACUCAAAUGAUUUAGCAUCUAAAUUUGUUUAUCACAUAAAAUGAGUUUCGCAAUAGAUGGGAAUUAACAAUUAUUUACUCACCUGUGAAGAACAAAUGACCGUUGAAAAGGUCAAAAUAUCCAAUUAUACGUCUUUAAAUCUUGUUCGAUCAAUCUAGUUAAAUUCAAUUUACAAGCAUAUAUACAUAUAUAAUAGGGAGAAAUUCAAAGUUUGAAACAUAAAUUUAAUUAAUUAAAACAAGUUUUUCAAAAGAGUUUACAACAAACUUUACCUUUAAAAGGAGUUUGAUAAAGGACUUCAAGCGUGAAAGUCCAAAAUCACAAACCUAAAUAAAAUACCACCAGAUAUGUACCACAUUAAUUGAUCAAAGCAAACACACACACUAGAGAGAGGGAGUAGGAAAAUGGGAAGGAACUAGCACCAUCACUAAGAAAAUGAUUUAAGUAUCAACAAAAAGUCAAUAUUCUCCAAGUAAAAACAUGAUAACUAAUCAUAAAGAAUUAUGAUUAUGUUUUAACUAAUCAAAAUUUUAUUCAAAUGGUCUUAUCCCCUACCUCAAAAGAAAGUUAACUAAUAAAAUUAGAACCAUUAAAAUAAAAUCUAGUUCACCAGGAUUCCACUAUAAUAACAUUCUAAAAUGAUUUCCUCCUAUGUACAUUCAAUAAUCAAGAUUUCCUCCAAUGGGCAUUUCAUCAAACAAUUGGUGGGCAACACAAAAGAAAGAAUAUUCAUUUACUUAAUGGCAGCCAGAAAUCUAGAAAAAUUAAGGAAUAAAUACAAAAAUUUGUGAAGAACAUGUCUUAGAUGCAAUGUUGAGAAUUGAGUUUCAAGUUUAAUUGAAAAAAUUGACAGGAGCAAGAACUCGAUUCUUCUUAAAUUUCGACCAUGGGAUUUUGUGUCCAGAAACCACUUUGCAAUCUAGCAAAUAGCCUAAAGCUUUAUUCAAAUGCUAUAAAACUAUCUUUUUUAGGAUGACUUACUCAAAGAAAAGUACAGAGAGUAACGAUUCAAAACCUUUCAACCCUUUCUC